UAAAAUUUAAUUACUAAAAUAUCCGUGAUUAUUGAUAUUUUUAUCCUUGGUUGGGAUUUGUAAGUUUGGCGUGAAAUUGUUAUCAAAAAUUGAAGUCCAAUGUGGUCCCUCUUAAGAAUUGUUUCAACCGUGUACAAGCUACUAAUCUAUUUUUUUUUUCCUACUUAUCUUUAAAAAUUGAUUAAAUAUACUAUUUGAACAUACACACACACAUAAAUAAACUCAUGAAUACACACACAUACAUAUAUUUAUACAUGCAUACACACAUAUAUGUAUAAGAAACAAGUACUUAAGAUAUCCAUUUACAUUGGAAUCUAAUUACAUCAUUUAUCAAACAAUUUAUCUUAAAACAAAAGGUUCCUAUUCCAUUAACCAAUCAAAUCUUGUUCCAUUAUCGAUAAAAAUGGAUUAAAUGUAUAAUUGUUUAUCAAUUUAGUUUAAAGAUUUAGAUUUCAAUUACUAUAUGUUGAUCAAAAUGUUUGUGAAACAGUUACUCUCAAACAAACUUCUUCUUUGGUGGUUCUGUUUUGUGUUCUUGGUUUUGAAAAUUUAUUUUUUAAAACAAUUUUCAAAAGAGAAACAGAAUUAAACAUGUCCCGAACUUCUGAGGUUAAGUUUUCUCACACCUCAUUAUUACUCAUAAGAAACCAAGUUACAUGUUGUUAUUAUUUAAUUUGAAUUAUUCUUGUCAUGAAUAUAUUAUUCCCCUUCUACAUUUUCAUGUUUCUUUACAAAGAACUUGUGCAAAAAACAUAUCCACCUGUCUGGAAAUUAGAAUGUACAUGGUUUCCCAUCAUAUGGAUUCUGGUACAGAGUGUUAUUCAUCAUCUUGAUGUCAUAUAUAAGAGUUUGAUAUCUCAAACUUUCAAGAAUUUGGUAUACUAUUUGUGUUCUGGUCAAAAUUAGUACAGCAAUGAAUUCUAAUGUAAUGAACAUGAUUGUAUAGGUGACCGCAAGGACCAGAAAACUCUGGAAAGGCUUCGGGCUGAAAGGCAAGCAAAGAUUGAUGAGCUUAAGGAAAAGACAAAUUACUAUAUUACUCAACAGCUCAUUCAGGUGAUAAUCGGAAGUUAACUAUAUUUUCAAAUUCUUUUUCCUUCUUCAAUAUCACUAUAAAUCUCUAUUUUCAUUUUUUUUUUUUUUGAAAGAAGUUAAUUUAAUUGGAUUUAAAGGUUGAGACUUGGGGCAUCAGCCUCGAUGCAUGGGGUUGGAAUUUCUUUUUACCCUCCUUAAUUAAUUUUUUUUUUUCAAUUUAUUGAUAAGUUUUAAGUAAGAAAAUUUGCUGAAAUGUUUUGUAUGAGGCAGAAGGUUAAAAAUUCUUUUGCCUCUUGAUUUGUUGCUGAAGAAUGAUUAGUAGUAAAUGAUAAAUGGGAGAAGUUGCAGAAACAUUUGGUUGAGGUAUGAUGACUUAAAAGUAUUGUUUUACUUAAUUAUUUAGACAAAAGUAGAUACUUUUUAUGAGAUAAUUUUUUCUUUUCUUUCAUAAAGAAAUUAAUUAAUUUUAUAUAUAUAUAUUUAAAUUUCUAGAUUGAGAGUGAACGAAUUUUUUGAGGUCUUGAUACAUUUUCUUUUGAGCUUAGCCUUAUACUUAUUCCUUUAUACAAUUAUUUGAGCCUUCCUCAUUAAGUGUGUACAUGUAUUUGUAUGGGGCAUCUGAGCAAAUGCAUGGAGCUAUGAAUUGUACUGAAUCAUCAGCUCUUUAAUGCAGAGAUAUGACCCUGACCCAGCAGCAAAGGCAGCUGCAGCGACUGUCCUGGCAUCAAAGUUAGGCUCAGAUUCAGGCUUAAAAGUGUAUGUAGGAGAUGAACAUCAGCUAAAUGUUCCAACAGGGAAAAGCAAUGAUGUAGAAGUUGUACAAUCUAGUGGGAUGCGAAAUAGAAAGCAGUUGCAGACCAGAUCCAGUAACCCAGGCAGUCCUGCAUUGCACCAUUCUGAUGAAAUACCGCAUAAUGCUGGGGCUGAGGGUCCUGGAAUUUCUGAGCAUGAUCAGUUGGUUGUUGAGCAUCACACUCACAAUGGAGCGGCCCAUCAUGAUGGGGGAUGGAUUGCUCGAAUUGCUGCACUACUUGUGGGGGAGGAUCCAACAGAGUCUUAUGCACUUAUAUGUGGAAACUGUCAUAUGCAUAAUGGUAAGUGGAGUGAGGACCUCAUCCUUACAAAAUGUAUUUCUGCUUCAGGAUUACUUUUGUUCAUCAUUACUUUUUUCCUCCAUGUCCCCUACUGUUAAUUUUGUUAUUUGACGAGUUGAGUACCGUUACUGAAGUAGUUAUGUCCUGUCUUCGUUUUUGUUAAUUUUGUUUUUUGAAGAGUUGAGUACCACUACUGAAGUAGUUUUGUCCUGUCUUUGUUUUUGUGCAGGACUUGCCCGGAAGGAGGAUUUCCCAUAUGUAACUUAUUACUGCCCACACUGUCAUGCCCUGAAUCAAUCAAAGCAAGCAGAAGAGCAUGCUUCUCGUUCCAAUUCUCCAAGAACAGGCAGUGCUGAUGGAAUCAGCAAUGCUCCUGGUUCUGUGAGUGAUGGCACUCUCACAAGCAGCAGCCCAGUAAGAACUGCUUCUGAGAUUGAGGAAGUAGUUGAGAAGGCUACUCCUGAAAAUCCAGUUAAAGAGGAAGACUAGUGUGGAAUCGCCAAGUCUGGUUUGGGAUAUUGUUUUCUUUUGUUUGCCUUUAUAUCAUCCUGGUUUGUGAGCCAUAUUGAGUGUUGGAAUUGCAUUGAGCUUGCUUCUCGUCUGCUUCUAUAACAAAAGAUUGUUUGAGAUUCCUUAUUACAAACAAACUUCGAACUUACGGUACAUGGAUCAAUGGUGAUAAUUCUUUACUUGACACAAAACAUUACAAAAUUAAUAAGUUUAGAUUGAGAUUAAUUAUGUUCAUGUUGUAUUCAUGUCAACCUACUUAACCCAAACACAAACACAAACACAAUCAGUUUUGACCUAUAUUCAUAUAAUUGUAGAUUCUGUGUUUUUUUUUUUUUAACAGGGUUUUAUCAAGAACAUAUUAAUAUUUAAAUUUAUAUUUAUUUUGAUUCAAAGCCUUGAACAGGUUAAAUGAGUGACAAUUACAUUAUUGGAUUUUUAAUGCACUAACUAUUUAUAUUGUAGUAAUUGUAGUAUGGGUCAACUUUGCCAACACAGCAUAUCACUUGGAUAUAUGCCUUGACUACAGCAAGAUGCAAGCUAUGUACCCCAUAAUCCGAGUGAGCAAGCAUCAUCGCUCAAGGUGAGUAUUUGCUCCUAAACUGCCUACAUAGUGGUUUAUAAUAAACUACACUGUUAAGGGAAAUACCUACUGCCAUUUGUUAGCAAGAUUGUGCGAGGGGUGGUUGAAAUUCCUAUAGGCUUUCUUCCCAAGUAUCAAACGUGUGAUGGGGAAAGAGAUCCAGUACACAAACAUUUGAUGCACUUUUGCCGAGUCAUGACUUUUUGUUCAAGGAAAUGAAGCCCUUUUGUGUAGAACCUUUUCUUCUAGCCUUAAAGGCAGCAUUAAUAUUGCUCCACAACCUACUGUCAAAAUGUAUCUCUUUUUUUUUUUUUUUUUUUUUUUUUCGGUUAUGUACUUUUUAAUUUUGCAGUAUCUAUGCUCAACUCGGUUAAUGAACCCAAGUACCAAUGCCCUAGUUGGUUUUAACGGGCAAGAAGUUAAUGCUUAAGGAUAAGUCUACUUACUAGUAAGUGUUGUUCUGACUAUGGAAAGGGGAAGCUUCUAUUAUAUGGUUGUCAUUUGAACAAAAAAAAUGCAGGAGCUACAUAUCAGUGCCUGGUUACAAAAUGUUUGACAAGCUACUCUAACAAACAAUGGAAACAUCUAUCAACAAUAUGCUGUUUAAGAGCCAGUUGAAUCAAGAGAGUUUUGCUAUCGAGGGUCAUCUCAAGAAGCUUUGAUAGCUGCUUUCCAUUUUUCAAGAAUCUUUCCAAAUUAGGAAAGGUUUGAAUUGAAGAAUGCAAGAGGACAUUUUUUUUCAAUUGAAAAAGUACCUAUCAACUUCCCUCAUCUUGAUUUAUCCUUAGGUUGGUAACAAGUUGCCUUUACACUUGCUAUUUCCUAGGAACGUAGUUAACAUUGUUUUAAGCAAAGAACACAAAUCAGAUCAUCUAUUGAUUGCUUAAAUCGCAAGGGUGCAUGCAUUUACAAUCUUAGGGAUACCAUAUCUAAGGCAAUUGAAGCAUUUAAAACAUAAAUACUUAGAUCUAAGGCUAAAAAACUCUACCUUGGAUCUAAAUGUUCCCAAAUCAAAUCCUAUUGGUGAAAUGGAUCUUAGAUACCAAGGGAUCUUUUGCCCAAUGACGCUCUCUUGGAUCUUGGUACUAGAGAAAGGUGAGCUUCUUUCUCCUUAAGGUUGGAGGUUAGGGCUCUCUCUAAAAGACUAUUGCAUAGGGUGUCUAAUCUCAAACACCUAAGAGGGUUUAUUAAGACUUCCUUAUAGGCUUAAGUGACUUGGAUCCAUCUUGGAUUUGGGUCACUUAAUCUAGUCCACUAGAUCUUAAUUAAUUAAUUAGUUCCAUUAAGUUUCAAUAAAUUAAUUAACCCAAUCCAAAAAGAUCGUUCAUAAGUUCCUAUGAAACCUUGCAUUUUACAAAAACGCCUUCAUGCACACAUAUGAAUAAAAACCCAUAAAUCUUUGAAAAUAAUGUGUCAUCAAAGAAUGUAAGCUCAAACGAGGACCAUUAAGACCAUAAGAAACUAUUGGCUCCCUUAGAAUCUAACUAAGAAGUUGACUUAACAUCCUACUAUAGAGGAUCAACUAUACUCUAAUAUCUUAUGAUAUUAGAUCGAAAUAAAAAAACUUAGGUUUGAGAUCCACAUACCACUACAUGCCAGUUUCUAAUGAACUGGUGUUUGUAACCUAUAUGUUGAUGUUAUAAUCCUCUUAAGAUUAUCUCUAUGAUUUUUAAGUCUUAAAUCCUCCUAUUAUAUGAUCAACUAACAAACUCUACUACAACAAGAGCAUAUGUCAAAUUCUACUAAAAGAAUUACUAUAACCAUAAAUUUCAUGAUCACAAGUUCCUAGGAUCACUUAAUGAAACGUUUUAUCUUAAACCAUAAGAUAUCAUAGUGUCUAUUUUGAGAAUACCUAUUGUCACCUACCUUAAUUAACAGUGACCUAAUCUAUGAGGAAUAUAUUGUUGGGAUAGAGCCCUUAAAAGUAAGACAUGGUGUAACAAAGAUAGACAUGAGUUUCCACUAAUUUAUCCAUUGUUUUCUUUUAUAUUAAUUUGAUCAUUCAAGCCUGCAUCACUUGCAUUAUAUGUGACUUAGGUGCAUUAAGAGUUGCGGGAAGAUCUAAGUCAUGGUUCCUUACAAGAUUGAUAAGUUGUUCACAACUAGUUCAUGGACUUAGACAAUCUAUUUGAAGUUGUAGUGCAUUACCUCCUAAUUUGAGGGAGGAUUUAUCUUGGUCAUUGGGAUGAGUUUCUUAUGUUGAGUACACUAGUGUGUAUAGUUACAUAUUAGACAGGACUUACGAUGAAUCAUGACAUCAACUAUUGGGUAGUCAUAAUUCACCAAGCUACUAUACCGUAUGAACUCUCAACCUUAAGAGGAUAUUGAGUUUGUACUAAAGUCAUCAAAAGGCUUUUACCUAUGUGUGAGACCUUAAGGUGGUCAUAUAUUUCUUAUAGAUUAGGUCACUAUGAUAGAGGCUAAUGGUAAUAUGUUGUCACACCCUAAAACUCACUCUAAGGGCAUGACGAUCAUUUCACACCUCAAGUCCAAAGGCUCAAAGUGGAAACAAUACAAAUAUUCAUCUUAUAAUUGAAAAUUAUCAAUUACCAAAUUCUUGUUCAGAGUAAUAAAAUAAAUAAAUUUUAUAAUCCCAAAGUCUCAAUUUUAAAAAUUAACACAUCAACCAUAGUGUUAUUGUUCAAAUAGCUUUAAACUCAAAUAUUCAAAUGAGAAUUAAAUUUUAACAUCUAAACAAUGUCUAAACUAAAGUUGCACCAAAAUCCUAACAAAGAAAAAGAGAAUUCCCUAGCCUAGCCAUCAUUCCUCGCCUGAAUGAAGGGGCUUGAACUUAAAGCUCAAUAAGGAACAUCAAUACAAUUUCAUGAAUCAAACAUUUUCAAUUACAAUUACAAACCGGAGAUAUAACAUGUAAUUAUUUUCAUAAAAACUUUUGAGUUCAAAAUACUAAUGCGAUCAAACUUUUCAAUAAAACUUUCUCAUAUCCAUUUCAAAACAAUUUCUCAUCAAAACCAAAUCAAAUACAUUAAAAAUAUCUUUACUUUGGUUAUCAAAUAACAAAUGGUACCCAGUUAAGCGGAACUUUACAAAUGAGUAACUAGUUUCAAAUUUGUUCCAUUUAAAGUUAACAAAACCAAAAGUCAACAAUUAUAACCCAUUGACUAGGGUCAUAAGGUCAGCUAGGGCCAUAAAGUCAACUAUUGUAACCCGUUGACUAGGGUCAUAUAAUAUCAACUAUUAUAACAUGUUAACUAGGGUCAUAGAAAUGUCAAUAAUUGUAACCCAUUGACUAGGGUCAUAGAAACCAGAGUCAAACACUUCAUUUCAUAAAUUCAAAUUAACAAAAGAAAAUAUUAUAUCUCCACAAUUUUCAUUUUUCAUAAACAAAGAAAAUACUCAAACAUAUUUUUCAUACAAAACAUAUAUUUGAUCCAUGCAUAGACAUAAAAAAUAAUAUUUUUACACAUUUCAAAAUAAAAUAUAAAAAGAAAAUUAUUUCUUUUACAAAAUCUACAUUAAUUUCCCCUACCUUGAAAAAGUACUAAAAAUCUUGAAGAAUUUGCUCCUCACCUAACAUAAUAUCAUAUACAACAUUUAUUAUUGAUAAUUUAUCUAAAGAUAUAAAUUUGACAAUCCUAACAAUAUUUUAUAUAGUUUUUCAAUAAUUUUAAUUAAUUUUCCUAUGUUAACAUUAUUAGAGAGAAUAUUAUUUUCAACUUUCUAAACAAUAAUAAAUUAAUUUGGUAAGUUUCCAAAUUUUUAUAAAAUUCAUAUUCCUUCCCAAUUUUAUCCUAACUAUUUAUUUCUUUAUAUACUUAAAUUAAAUUAAAACUUGUACCAAAAAAUAUUAUUAUUCUCAUCAUCCAAUUGUUACUUAACCGCAAUUCCAUCAUUUCACCCAAUAUAUAUUAUUACUUUCAAUUAUCUGCAACACUAUUACUCCAAGCCACCAAAUACAUCAAUUAUUAUUAUUAUUAUUAUUUUAAUUUAUUUCACCCUUUAACUUACAAACCACCACUCUAUUGCCUCUCAUGAUUUCCUUCUUUUUUUUUCCACUCAACAAUCUCACACCCCAAGUCUUUGUUCUUUUUUCUUUUUUCAAAUUACUACCCAACAUAGUUUCUUAAAUUUCAAAAUCCAAAAACAUGCAAUUCUUCUUAUUAUUAUUAAUUUAUUUUAUUUUUUAUUUUUUAUUUUUUUCCAAUAUAAAGCCUCCACAAACAAUUUAUUUAUUUAUUUUCUAAAUCUAAAAUUUCUCUUCUUCCAUUAAUUUUUCAUUUAUUUAUUUAUUUAUUAUUCAAUUGAAACUUUCCUAUUUUCAUCAAUAAAUUAAUCUGCAUUAAUAAAUUUUCAAUCUUUUUAUCCAAAAAAAAUUAAAUAAACAAACCCUAAUUUAGAUUAGGAUUUGUAAAGUAUUCAAAUCUAAUUAACGAAUAUAAAAUACUAAUCCAAUGAUUAAAAUCUUACCUAAAAAAUUGAUCUUCAAACCUUAAACCUCCAAAUCUUCAACCUUAUAUUCUCCGAUCUUUUUUAUCUUUGUGUAAAAGGGUUUUCUAAAUAGAGAAGAUAAGGAAAAUCUAAUUUCUACCUAAGGUUUUUAAAAGUGAAAAGACUUUUCUACCCUUAUUAAAUUAAUUAAUUAAUUAAUUUCUAGAUUAUGAUUUACCCCUACAUUGGGUUUAGGGUAUUACACAUGUAUUUUCAAUAAAGACAUCAUAAUAUCUCAUGAGAUUGAGAUAGUUUGUCACCUUGGGUAAUCCUAACGACUUGUGAUCAUGAAAUUUAUGGUGUCGUAGUAAUUCCUUAAGUGAAAUUUGGCAAUGCUCUUAUGAGCUAGAGUAUGUCAUUGAUCACAUAGUAGGAGGAUCUAUAACUCAAUGAUUAUAGAGGUAAUCUUGAGAAAGUGAUAGCAUAUACCUCGUUAGAUUAUAGGCACCAGUUCAUAGGAAGUUUGGAUGCAUUGGAUAAUAGGUAACAAACCCGAGUUUUUUUUUAUCUCAAUCUAAUAUUAUAGAGUACUGGAGUGUAGUUGAUUCUCUACAGUGGGAUGUUGAGUUAACUUCAGAAUUAGAUUCAAUAUUUUCCUAUGGGUCCCAAUAGUCACAACUCGAGUUCAUAAUAUUAGGUGGCACAAUGUUUGAGGGUUAGUUGGGAUAUUUAUUCACAUGUGUGCUUAAAACAAUUUUGAUUAGGGAUGACAAUGAGGCAAGUUUAGGAUGAGUCGUCUCAAUCCCAACCUCAUCUCACUUAUUUAUAUCUAUUUCGAUCAUUGCCUAAAAAAACAUUUAAACGAGAUAGAAUGAGUAUAAGAAAUUCAUAUACCGUUUAAAAUUUUUCAACAUUUUUCAAUUUUUUAUUUUAAAAUUUUUAAAACUAUUAAACAUAAGCAUACUUUAUAAAUAAAUAUUUAUAAUUUAAUUUUAUGAAAAGUAAUAUUUCAUUUAUGUUUAAAAAAUUGAAAAAUAAAAAAUCAAAUCAAGUAAUUUUUUAUUUAAAAUUAUAUAUAAUUGGAGUGGGACAAGACAAAGUCAUACUCGAACCCGCCCUAAACCCAUCCUAGGUUUUUAAAAACUUUCAAGACUCAACUCAAACCUAUUUAUAUUUAUCCAAAAUCCUUCCCAUUAGGGGUGAGAUAGGACAAGUACCCGGAAAAACUCACUUCUUUCUUCUUAGUUUUGAAAAAAACGUAAGAUUGCAUAGGAGCUUAAGAAUGUUAUUUCUGGAUUGGGCUAGUUGUUUAAUUGGAACCCAAUAUGGCUAAUUAAUUAAUUAGGACCCAAGUGGGUUGGAUUAAUUGACCCAAGCCCAAGAUAGACUCAAAUCACUUAAGCCCAUAAGGAAACCUAUAUAAACUCCCUUAAGGAUUAGAUUUUUAAGCCUCUUUUUCAAUCUUUUGAGGUUCCCGAGAAAGGAACCCUAGCUUCCACCCCUUUAUGAGGAUUCCAUAAUCUUCAAGUGCCUAGAUCUAGGAAAAUGAGUCAUCAAGUGGAAGAUCUUUUAGUUUUUAAGAUCUGCACCGGCUUCUUUAUUGACUAGAAUUGAUAGAAGAACAUCUAGAUUAUAGGUAUGGUUUUUAUACAACUAGAUCUGCAAUUUUGAUAUGAUAUAUACUUUUAUUGAUUGAAGAUAAAGAUCCCUAGGAUAGUUUUACAUGCACUCCAAUGAUCCAGGGCUUGGAAUAGAGCAAUCUAGAUAUUCUGACAAUUGGUAUAAAAAGCCUUAGGUUAAAAAAUUUCAAAGAAAAUAAUUUAUUCAUCAAGGUAAUUACUAAUGUUUUAAAAAUACUCUUAUUUAACUCAAAUGAUUAAGUAGGAAAGGGUUAUGAGCAAGCCUAUAGCAUAUAAGAUUAAGCUCAUAGCUAGGCGGUUUGGUCCAAGAAAUCAAAAAGGACAUGAACUUUCAUUAUCAUCUUAGGACCCAACUUGAUUUGGGUCAUUUCUACCCCAACGGUUGGUAGGGCCAAGGUAUUAAGGGAUAUGGAUUCUUUUAAGGACUAGACUAGAUAUGUUAGUAGUGGGAGUAACCACCCCAACAAUGGGGUUCUUUAAUUGAUAACAUUGAUGUCAAGGAUCUUGGUUAUACACAUUACUUAGAAUAUGAAAGUGGUUUGCCCAACAUAGGGGUUUUCAUGAACUAAGGGCUAAAUUAAAAGGUAUGUUGAUAUUGCCUUAAGAAACUUUUCAAGUUAAAGGUAGGGAGAUGACUCGUUCCCAAUUAGUGUCUCAACUGAUUCAUGUCCUCUCAAUGGUCCCUGACAGUGGUGCCAUUUGAUUCGUGUCCAGCUGGUGUCCCUUGAUUGUGGUCCUCAGAAGGGAGUAAUCAACAAAAUUUAUAACCUAUUACGCCAUGUACUAGGAUAGCCUUAGCUAGCAUAGCAUAGUGGCUCUAGGGUCGUUCACUGGGAUGGGUUUUCACUUCACAAUUGAUAUUAAUUCAAGAGCUGAAUUGAUGUCUUUUCAUUUCAAGGUUAGCUUUUAAAGAAGACAUAAUCUUUGGUGGAAAAAGGUUUGGUUUUAAACUAACCAAAAAUAGUAACUGAUUUUACUUACAAAGAAAAGCAUUUCUAGGAAUUUAGAUCACUAGGUUCAGAUUCCUCAUACAAAAAGGGAGUUCCGGUCACUUGUUUCUUUUCCUCGCAUUAGAGAAUUAACAUAUAAUUAAUUAUCUAACCGGUGUGGUACAGAUGCUUCCCCUUAAUGGGUUCAAAUACUAAAUCCCUCUCACUGAUGCAUCUUGCAAUGACUCAUGCCUCUCACCUAACAUUUACCAUUCAAGGUGAUCUUUAACUUUGGACUUCCCUUCUCAAGCUCGCAAGAGAUAACUAAUGGAUGUCUCCUUAGAGUCCAAAAGCUUACCAAGUGUUGGCUAUUCUAGAAAAUCCUAUCUUCAAACCACCUCCCAAAGGCUCGCAAGAGAUAAACAAGUGCAUCUCAAUGGAUGGAGAUCACUUACCUUACCAAGUUUUGGCCCAAGUGAUUUAAUGGCGUUUUAAGUUAACUAAAAAGAUAAAACCAUUAACGGGUCACACUUUCUCUUCAUUAAAAACUAAAACAACAAAACUUUCAAUUUAUGCAUGAGGAAACUUACCCGGCUUUCUUCACUUCAAGAGACGAAAAGCCUAGCCACUCAUCCUCUGAGGAAAAAUCCUCAGAGUUUGAUUUGCUAGAAAUAAAAAUAAUGAGAAAACAAAAAUAUAUAUAUGAAAAAUAGAGCAAGUGCUCUGUAAUAUAUUUUUCUUCCUUAUACAAAAGGUUGUUUCCAAGAAAAAACUCCCGAGAUCUAUAUUUUUUGUAAAGAAAAUUACAACUAUAUAUAAGAAGUUAUUCACCCCUUUGUUCUUACUUAAAGACUAAGGAAUCCUAUGAUAGGUGGGUUACAAUGAGAGUUUAGGGAUUUAGACAUCAAAUAUCUAAAACAAAAUAUCUCAAAAAGUCGGUCGGAAAUAUCAGGAAGCUUCAGGAGAACACCGCAACACUGUAUAUACUGAGAGAAAAACUCUCUGGGUAAGCGCUAUCAGAGGAUCCGGACAUGUUUGACUGGGGAAGUUGAAACGUCCUUCUCUCCCAUCCGACUGUGAGAUAUCCGGAUGUGAAAUAUCCGAUCAAAGGAUCCGGACAUGUCUGACCGGGGAAGUUGAAACGUCCUCCUCUCCCAUCCGGAUGUGAGAUAUCCGGAGAAGGUGGAAUGUCGGCGGACGGGAUUCCUACCCGGGUGGAAUGAGCUAUGCCGCGCGUCGCUAUUUAGAGCAACUCCAUCCGGAUUCCCCAAGAGGACAUGUGGCGUGCUCCCCUAUUCGGACUCCCUCAGGGAGAAGCACACGACACUCGUGAAUAUCACACCCCGGACGAUAGCAUAUCCUAUCUGGAUAUGUUGUUCGGAUCAUUGACUAAAGCGAGCAAGCCCUACUACGUCAUUCCGACAGCCUGCCACAGCCCAUGUUCCGCCUCCCUCCGAUGGUGUGUCCAGACACCCUGUCCGGACAUCUUUGCCAUGGAUUCCAAAAAACUCUCCUCAAUCUCGGAUUGAUUUGGUGAUAAAAAAAGCUAUCAAAACACCAAAACUUAACACAAUUUGAUUAAAAUUGAUUGCAAGGGUCCUUAAUAUGUUAAUUGGGUUAAAAGGUGAUAACUACUACUCAAAAGUGUUUAAAAGAGUUAAUUACAAGCUAUCAAAUAGCACUUUUUGAGUAGUAAUCACUCCCCCCAACCAACAUAUUGCUAGUCCCUUAGCAAUGAAGGAGAGAAAAAUAAAAAUAACAGUACUAUAAUUUACAACAUCAUGCUAAUCAAAAAACAAUUUUCAAGUGGCAUGAUGAUCUAACUCUCACAUGGAACAUUAAAGAAAUAAAACUUAAACUUCAAAAAGAGUUAUCAAAUAACUUGUCUAAUCACAAUUCUUAAAGAGAAGGCAUUAUGCAAAUUUAAGCUUUAAAAGAGUUUCCACUCCCAAAGGGUCAAACCUUACUCUUCCACAAAUAUCUAAGUGUUUAUUUAUUAGUUUCCGAAUAUAGUAUGUUGAACUAAUCUCUCCCCCAAACCUAGUUCUUUUUCAAAGCUUAGCAAACUGAUCAACCUCCAAUAGGCUAAGAACGCACCUCUUGUUUCACAAUUUUUUUUUCAUUGUAGGAGUACAAGGUUUAAAGGUAUUCUUUUCUAAAUUGUCCAUGUAAUGGGGGUCCAUCAAUGACUCCAAACCAAUUAAGGUUUAGGGCAUCAAGUUUUAAGGAUCUUUCAACCACUAACUCCUCGGAUUUUACCCCGGACUUUUGAGAAUGAAUUUUUAAAUACCUAACACCUACAGUAUGUUAAACUCCACCUAUUCACCCUUGUAACGAGCAUUGAGGUCGGUGACUCCCAACCAAUGAAGGCUUAGGGCACCAAGUUUUAAAGAUUUUCACCAUAUACCCCUCAGACAUUGCUCGGGUUUCAAGGCAAGCAAACAUUUUUUUCUUUCUUUCUUUAUUCUUUUUUUUUUCAAAGGCUCAUUGGCCUUUUAUAAGGUGUCCCAACACUAUUAAAUGAGGUCAAAGGUACCAAGUUUAAAAUUUUCCUAAGUCAAGCGGGAAAUAGUUUUUCAUUUUAUAAUCGGAACCUAUUGUGCACAGUGUGUGAAUAGCUUAAAGUGGAAGAACUAAGGUUGAAUUCAAUAGAAGUUUCAACAAUUCAUCAACUUUAGUAAGCAUAAUACAAACUCUAAGUCAAGUAAAAAGACAAAAAUUCAAUUUCUCCCAUUUCAUUUUGAAAAUUUUUCCUUAAUAACCAUGGAAGUAGAAAAAAUUUUAAAAUUAAGCAAAAAACAACUAAAUUACCAAAAUAAAUUAGCAUUAAUAACAAAAACUUCCUUCCUCAACUCUCCCCCCAACCAAGCUGAACAUUGUCCUCAAUGUGAUAAAAGCGAUUGAAAAAUAUGGAGGAAGUGGUACCUCCUUAGUGACAUAGAGUCUGAGUCGUAUAAGAGAAACCACAUGUUUAAAAAAAAAAACAAAAGAGUUAGUGAGUAGAGGAAAUAGAAAAAUGCCAAGUUUAAACAAAAAAUGAUAUCUAUAUAUGAUGCAUCAUCAGUAAUACAUCCAAUCCCAGAAUAUAAGACAUCAAAAUAUGGAAUUAUUUAUACUAAUAUAAUAUGUAAAUACAAACAAAAAUAAAGAGAUGAUCAAGUAAUGGUAGGGUCAUAUGGAGCUGAUGCAUCUGUGGUGGCCUCUUGAGUGGAUUGGAUCAAGACUUUGACCUCUGUUCUGGUAGUCUCCUUAGGUAGCAUAGUCUCCUCAGUUGGAGCUAUGGGCUUUGAUGGUUUUAGGAGGUAAGAAAUGGAGUGAGAGGCUUUGUGUGUGUGAUCUCAGUGAGAGGGCUCUCCUCUUUAGAUGCAGGGUAUGGGCGCUGCGAAGUGGCACUCGUGUGCCAAAGGGUGGUUUCGCAGCUGCGAAACACCCUUCGAAAUGGCUCCUCAGCUGCGAAAUUCCCUCUCAACUUUGCGCGUUCGUCUUCAAACGGCCAUAACUUUUUCGUUUCAACUCCAAAUCGCGCACCGUUUGAAGCUCUGGACUCUUGACUUCCCUCUUUCACCUCUUUUGACAUUCCUCUUGAUUUUGAUCAUCCAAAAACCUAUAUUACAUCAAAACAAAUUAGAAUUAAAGCAUUGAAAUCAAAAUUAAAACAUUGAAAUCAAAAUUAAAACAAGUAAUAAGUAAAACAAAAAGCUAUGGACUAGCUAGUCUUUAAAAAGACUAAGUCCAUCAAAAAAAUUUGAUCCUGAUUUAGUUUGCCCGGAUCCCAUAUGAAGUUUGCAUCUCUCACUUAAGACUUGCUUUGUAUGAUUUUGCCAUACAAAGCUUGGAGGAAAAGUGAAGGCAUGUGUUUCAUCAUCAAUUCUUCCUUGAUGACUAUCCUCUGUGGAUCUUCAUCUAUAUUAAGAUCAUAGUCAUCUUUCUCUAUGUUUUUCCCCUUUUUCUUUUUUUUGAUUUCCUCCCUCUUUUCUUUCUCUGUUUCACUCUCUACCUCAUGCUCUAGCUUGGAUGUGGGUAGAUCAACCUCUUUACCACUCCUCAAAGUGAUAACCGUUUUAACUUCCUUCACCAUUGAAGAUUCUCCCUUUUGAGCCUCUACUUCAUGGAUACCCUUGGAAUUUUGAUGAGAUUGAGAAGGAGAGUUUCUUUUUUCUUGCACUUUGUUGAGGUUGGCAAACCUUGAGAUUGAAUAUUGGAGAUUAUCUAUCUUCUGAGAUAGAUCACUUUGCACUUCAUCCAUUUUUUUGUUCAAUGAACUCUCUACACUGUCAAUUCUUUGACUGAGAUGAGCAUUGAUGGAUUUCUAAGCUCCAACAAAGUCUCUCAUGACCUUGCUAAGAUUCACCAUAGCUUGUUCAAGGUUCGAGGCUUGCGGAAGUGCUUGAACAUGUUAUUUGUACUGAGGUGGCUGUGGCUUCCAAGGGAAAUUUGGAUGGUUCCUCCAAUUGGAAUUGUAGGUGUUGCAAUCACCAAGCAUUUCCCUCACCGUUGGAAUGGUAGGACACUCAUCCACCAAGUGCUCAUAAGAUAGACAAAUGGCACAAGGCAUAGCUUGCAAUAGUGUUUGAGAGAUGACUUGCACUUCUUGCAUCUUAUUCAUUUCUAGCUCUUCCAAUCUCCUUGCCAUAGCUGUAAUCUUUGCCUUCAUGUCAAUGUCUUCAUUCAAAAUAUACAUCUCACCCUUAGCAUCAGGUUGAGACGUCAUUCUUCCCAUAUUUCUAGCAUUUGGUUCAUCCCAUCCUCUUGAAACUUCAGCCACAUAACUCAUGAAGUUCAUGGCUUCCUCUGCUAUCUCGUAUUCAACAUGGCAUGCACAACUAUCAAUUUGUGAAUUAAAAACAGAGAAAACAAAAGAAAAUAAAAGAAAAAAAUUCUAAAGAAAAAACAAAAUUAUUAAGAUUAACUAAAAACUAAAUAAAAGAUAUACUAAAAUAUGAACAAAGAAAAAGAAACAAAUAAAAAGAGUUAGUAAAAAGAAAAGAAAAGUCACCAAACUUGUGAUGAAGAUCACAAGUACUCUGAAAAUGUCAUAUCACUGUAAAUUGGCACCAUCCCCGGCAACGGCGCCAUUUGAUUCGUUCCCAAUUGGUGUCUCAGCUGAUUCAUGUCCUCUCAAUGGUCCCUGACAGUGGUGCCAUUUGAUUCGUGUCCAACUGGUGUCCCUUGAUUGUGGUCCUCAGAAGGGAGUAAUCAACAAAAUUUAUAACCUAUUACACCAUGUACUAGGAUAGUCUUAGCUAGCAUAGCAUAGUGGCUCUAGGGUCGUUCACUGGGAUGGGUUUUCACUUCACAAUUGAUAUUAAUUCAAGAACUGAAUUGGUGCAUUUUCAUUUCAAGGUUAGCUUUAAAAGAAAACAUAAUCUUUAGUGGAAAAAGGUUUGGUUUUAAACUAACCAAAAAUAGUAAUUGAUUUUACUUACAAAGAAAAGCGUUUCUUGGAGUUUAGAUCACUAGGCUCAGAUUCCUCAUACAAAAAGGGAGUUCCGGUCACUUGUUUCUUUUCCUUGCAUUAGAGAAUUAACAUAUAAUUAAUUCUCUAAUCGGUGUGGUACAGAUGCUUCCCCUUAAUGGGUUCAAACACUAAAUCCCUCUCACUGAUGCAUCUUGCAAUGGCUCAUGCCUCUCACCUAACAUUUACCAUUCAAGGUGAUCUUUAACUUUGGACUUUCCUUCUCAAGCUCGCAAGAGAUAACUAAUGGAUGUCUCCUUAGAGUCCAAAAGCUUACCAAGUGUUAGCUAUUCUAGAAAAUCCUAUCUUCAAACCACUUCCCAAAGGCUCGUAAGAGAUAAACAAGUGCAUCUCAAUGGAUAGAGAUCACUUACCUUACCAAGUUUUGGCCCAGGUGAUUUAAUGGCGUUUUAAGUUAACUAAAAAGAUAAAACCAUUAACGGGUCACACUUUCUCUUCAUUAAAAACUAAAACAACAAAACUUUCAAUUUAUGCAUGAGGAAACUUACCCGGCUUUCUUCACUCCAAGAGACGAAAAGCCUAGCCACUCAUCCUUUGAGCAAAAAUCCUCAGAGUUUGAUUUGCUAGAAAUAAAAAUAAUGAGAAAACAAAAAUAUAUAUAUGAAAAACAGAGCAAGUGCUCUGUAAUAUAUUUUUCUUCCUUAUACAAAAGGUUGUUUCCAAGAACAAGCUCCCGAGAUCUAUAUUUUUUGUAAAGAAAAUUACAACUAUAUAUAAGAGGUUAUUCACCCCUUUGUUCUUACUUAAAGACUAAGGAAUCCUAUGAUAGGUGGGUUACAAGGAGAGUUUAGGGAUUUAGACAUCAAAUAUCUAAAACAAAAUAUCUCAAAAAGUCAGUCGAAAAUAUCAGGAAACUUCAAGAGAACACCGCGACACUGUAUACUGAGAGAAAAACUCUCCAGGUAAGCGCUAUCAGAGGAUCCGGACAUGUCUGACCAGGGAAGUUGAAACGUCCUCCUCUCCCAUCCGGCUGUGAGAUAUCCGGAUGUGAAAUAUCUGAUCAGAGGAUCCGGACAUGUCUGACCGAGGAAGUUGAAACGUCCUCCUCUCCCAUCCGGAUGUGAAAUAUCCGGAGAAGGUGGAAUGUCGGCGGACGGAAUUCCUACCCGGGUAGAAUGAGCUAUGCCGCGCGUCGCUAUCCGGAGCAACUCCAUCCGGAUUCCCCAAGAGGACAUGUGGCGCGCUCCCCUAUCCGGAUUCCCCAAGAGGACAUGUGGCGCGCUCCCCUAUCCGGACUCCCUCAGGGAGAAGCACACGGCACUCGUGAACAUCACACCCCGGACGAUAGCAUAUCCUAUCCGGAUAUGUUGUCCGGAUCAUUGACUAAAGUGAGCAAGCCCUACUACGUCAUUCCGACAGCCUGCCACAGCCCAUGUUCCGCUGCCCUCUGAUAGUGUCCGGACACCCUGUUUGGACAUCUUUGCCAUGGAUUCCAAAGAACUCUCCUCAAUCUCGGAUUGCUUUGGUGAUCAAAAAGCUAUCAAAACACCAAAACUUAACACAAUUUGAUUAGAAUUGAUUACAAGGGUCCUUAAUAUGUUAAUUGGGUUAAAAGGUGAUAACUACUACUCAAAAGUGUUUAAAAGAGUUCAUUACAAGCUAUCAAAUAGCACUUUUUGAGUAGUAAUCAGGAGAUUAAUCUAAGAGAGCCUCUACCUAAUAAUAAGAUCAUGACCCCCCUGACAUAAGCUUGACACCUAUAAUACUAGGAUACCUAUCAAAGGAUAUGUAGUUCUAAGAAUUCUACAUUUGCUAAACUAUUGUUUUCCUUAAAUGCUCAAUAUUUAAAUGCAUACACAUAUGUUUUGUUACAUAUAUCAAUAUUUGCUAUUUUUAUCACUUUCAUUCUCACAAUAAGUUAAUGGACCAAGUCCAACUGAUCAUUUUGAUUUAAAAAAAUUAAUUUGGAUACAAUAACUAUUUGCAAAGAAACUAAUUUAAGUGGAGCUAGCUAUUCCUUUUAAACAAGCCUAGUAGGAAGAAAAAAUGGUAUAUUGAUCAAAUGUGGCAUAUAACAUAUUAGAAUAUCAAGUGUCUCAAACUUAGGUCGUUGGAUAAUUUGUUGCAACAACCACACAUGUCUAUUGUCAUAGUCUUUAAUAUUCUUUUUAGUCUGCAAGUGAUAUUUAGUAAUAAGGAUAGGUUAGCUAGACAAGUUACCCUUAGGACUAUCAUGAACACUAAGCUUUAUAUAUGAUCUAAGAGACCUUUCCAUAUUCUUUCAGGAUAGCUAAGAGGGUUCUUAAAUAUCAUAAGGGUGUUCAUAUGUGAGUCAAAAAUUCUUCAAGCUCUUUUACCAAAGAGAAAAAGAACAACACCAAACAAGGAAAGUUCAAGAGAAGGAAUGGAAAAGAAAACGCAAGGGAAAAUGAUCCUUUGUGGACCUUUUCUGACACUGGAAAAGGAAUGUCUGGAUUACCUAAGGAAAAAUGAAAAUAUAUAUCAUAUUCUUAUUGUUGAAUAUACAUUGGUGGAUUCAUACCAAACCUCUCUAUCUAUAAUUUUUUACAAGGGUUUUAAUAAGUGAGAAAGUUAUAUGAUGAGAAUGUGCCUAUCUUAGCUUAAGUUGCAAGGUUAGUUGUGCAAGCUAAUGGAAUAUACUAUUUCUUCGUCCAUUACCAUUUUUCCCAAGUAAUGAGAAUAGUUUGAUCUCACUAAAAGAAAAGAAUCUAGCACUAAUCAAGCAUCCGGCAUCUAAAGCUUAGGUCAUAUUAAUCUAAAUAGGAUCCAAAGAUUAUUUAAGUUAGGACAUUUUGAUUCCAAAGGAUAUUCCAGUUUACAAAUCUUGCAUAAGUGGUAAAAUAACUAAAAAUCCCUUUAUUGCUAAAAUACAUAGAACCAAAGAAUGUUUGGAGCUAAUGAAUAUUGACGUGUAUGGAACUUUUGGUGUUCAUACACAAACAGGGUAUGGGUACUUCAUCACUUUUAUUGAUAAAUGCUCUAGGUUUGGAUGUGUGUACCUAGUACAUAAGAAAUUCAAUGCCUUGGAUAAAUUCAUUGAAUUUAAGGAAGAAUCGGAUAACCUAUUGUGUAAACAUAUCAAGGAAGUUCAAUUACAUCGAAGUGGUGAGUUUGUGUCUAGUAGGUUUGAUUCUCUCUUUAGGGAGCACGAGAUUAUAUUCCAAUUGAGUGCACCAAGGACUCCAUUGCAAAAUAGAGUAAUAGAAAGAAGAAAUCAAACUUUGAUGAAUAUAGUGAAAUUGAUGAUGUGUUUCUCAUCACUUCCCACAUCUGUUUGGGGAUAUGCCUAGGAGAUUGUAUCUUACCUCCAUUACUAAGUUGGUAUUUUUUACUUUAAGGGAAAUAUGGACAGGUUGUAAACUUAGUUUACAACAUAUUCACAUAUUGGGGAGUCCAACACGUGUUGAAAUCCAAAGGUAAACAAGUAGGAGGCAAGGCAAAAGAUAUAAUAGUUUGUAGGAUAUCCUAGAGGAUCUUAGGGUUAUUACCUUUAUAAUCAAGAAUAUUAAAAGGUGUUUGUGUUAGAUUUCUAAUAAAAACUAUAUGAUAAGAAAUAAGGCAAAGACUGAUAUAAAUUGAAGAAUACUAUAAAAUAGUCUCAUAUUUCACAAGAUACUAUGGAUCUAGGGGUAUUGAGACAUGUCAUUCUCGAUACAUCUAGUACACAAGUGUCUCAAUGUAAUGGGAGGAUUGCAUCCCAUAGAUUAUGAUGAAGUAAUGAGUAACCUUGAUGCCUAUAUAUGGUAAGGAGUUAUGAAGUAUUAGAUUGUUGGGUGUUAAAGAAAAAACAAAACAGACCAAAAUGUCGUCAUUUUAAUCCAUUUUUUUUUCUCUAAUACCUAGUAGUCCCUACAUUGUGUUUUAAGGUGAAAUAAAAGCAAAAAAGAAAAAGCCCUAAUCUUUAGGCUACAACCAAAUCGAAAAAAAAAAAAAUAAAAGAAAAAAAAUAAGAAGUACACCCUUAUAGAGCUUUGCGCCAAACUGAAGGCAAGCACCUUACAUGCCUACUUAGCGUCUUCCUCAAUGGAAUGUGUUUAGAGCAAGGUAAGGCACCAGAGCUUCAUGUCACAUUGUCUUGCAUCUAGGCAUGCUUAAAUCACGUAUUUUAAAACUAUGAGUAAAAGUUCUUUAUACAAAUAGUAUAAAUUUACCUUAUAUUUUUAAAAAUUAUUUUCAAAAACUUUGAAAUUGAGGUAGUAAAAUAAUUUUUAUACCUCAAUUUUUUUUAAUAAUUUCUAAAACUGUCACCCUUUUAAUUUAACCUAAAAUUUAUGUAUCUAAUAUAAAAAUUAGUAUUAUGUUCCAAUUUUAAAAACAGAAGAUAGCAAUGUAGACAAAUGUACACUUUUGAGUUUAUAAAUUACAAAUAUAAAUUUGAAAUGAAUAUCUUUAUGAGGGUCAAUAAAAUAACAAGCUCCAUGAGGAACAUUAGCAUCAACUUUUCUCAUUUGGAUUACAUGUGUCAAUAUUGAUAGAGUUAAGAAAUUACUUAUUUUUAUAAAUUAAAAUAACUAGUGAUGAUUUAAAAGGAAAAUGUUAAAUCACAAUAAUCAUUUUCUUGGUUACUUAUUAGAUAUAUUUAAGGCUGUGUUUGGUUAGUUGGAUAGGACAUAAUAAGACAUGCAUAUCUUAGGAUAUCAUAUCUUACUAGAUAGAAUAUGUAUAUCUUAGGAUAUAAUAUCCUUAAAUAUUAUAUCCAAUGGAAUGAUGUUUCAAGUAUUAUAUCUAAUAGUAUAUGUUAUAUCAUGUUUAUAUAUAUAUUGUAAAAAGAAUAAUAAAUGAAAUGAAACAUAUAUUGCAUUUCAAUGUUCGAUAUUUAUUUCAAAUAAAAAUUAUAUUGCAUCCUAAUACUUGGUAUUAAAAAAUUAUCAUAUCUCAUAUAUUUAGUGUUAUUUGAAAAUUGUUUAAAAAUUGUUUUGUAAUUUACAAUUUAGUGAGUAAUUUUUUAGUUCUUUCUUAAUAAUAUUUAUGAUUACAAUUUCAAAUUUAUAAAUAAAAUUAUUAUAUUAUAUUGUUAAAUAUGAAAAAUAGUUUGUAUAUAUUAAUAUUAUAUUGAAAAUAUAUACAAAUAUAUAAAAAUAUAUUAGUAUUAUUUUAUGGUAUAUUUUAUACAUAUAUUUUAUUUUUUCUUUAACUACAAAUUUUAUUUUUUAAAUCAAAAUUAUUUGUUUUACAAAAUGAUUAAUAUAGAAAGUUGAUAACAAGUGUAAAUUUAUGAUUUAUAAAAUAUAUAUUAUAUCUCAUAUUUCAAGUUAGGAUUAUUAUAACUUGUUACGUGUUCCUUUAUGAAUAAAAGCAACUCAAAUUAUUCUUUGACUUUUGGAAAUUAAGGCCAUUUUUUUUCCUAAUUUAGACAUAAUAUUUUUGUGUAGUUAAGGAUAGGAUCAAAAUUAGGAAAAUAAAGAUUCCUAAAUGUAUUUCCAUGUAUAUUACAACUGAUUUCUAGGAGUUCUAGUUGUACAUAUUUUUUCUCUUUCCUAUUUAUUUUGUAUCUAUUCAUAUUGUAAAGAAUUAAAAAAAAAGGUCUUCCUUAAUAACAUCUUUUAUUUUGGUUUCUCCAUGGCUACACACAUGGUAUCAAAGUCAGUUUCUUAAUGAUUUUUUUUUUCCAUUCUCUUUUGUUUUUCAUCCAAAAAAAAAAAAAAAGACUACCAUUAGGUGUUUGUUUUCCAACCAUACUUGCUACCAUUCAUAUUAGCUCCACUCAUUAUUAUUAUUUUCGUAUUGUAGUAUUGUUUCACGUUUUCUGCUAAUCGUUUUUUCUUUUCUAUUAAGGAGUAUUACAACCUUAUUCAACCUUAUUUUUCCUAUUGUCUUGCUUUUGUAAACAUGGCAAAACCUUCAAAUCCCGUCACCACAAACCCUCAAACUCAUUCUCAUAAAAAUAAUCUUACCAUUCAAAUCUCCACUAUGAAAUUGAAUGGAAAAAACUUUAUAGAGUGGUCUCAAUAAGCCAAAAUCUCUUUGAUGGGAAAAGAAAAUUUUAAGUAUGCUAAUGGUACCUUAUUUGCCCCAGCAACAACAAACCUAAUUUAUGAAGUUUGGGAAAUUGAGAAUUCUUUUGUUAUGUUUUGGUUGUUGCAUUCUAUGCAACUAGAGAUAAGUAAAACUUAUCUUCUUCUCCCUAUAGUAUGUGAUAUAUGAUAGUAGUUGUUGUUUCACGGUACGAAUGAAGUUUCUCGUUUAGCUCUUGAAGGGAUGACAUGACCAACGAUAUUUAUCCAUCUAGCUCAUUUGCGAUGGGCUAUGUGACACCUGCACGAAAAGAUGUCUGAACGGUUUGCCCGGGCAUGCCCCUCUAAUGCUAAAGUUAGUAAGUGGCUUAAGUAAAGGAUUGUUGUAGAAAGAAAGCACAUACCAUUUGUGGAUUCUGUGUGGCUAUUUAUGUUUGCUCAAGUGUAACGUAUUUCCAAGUGUCUUAAUAUCACCUUAAUUGAGCUUGAUUAUGCGGUAUUAUGUCUAUGAUUGUUGAUACAUAACGAUUGUCUUGUCUUGAUGAGCCAUGAUAAUGAAAUGUCUAUCAAUAACAACCGCAUUUAAUACGAAGCGUGUUUGGUGAGCAAUUUAUGCAUUAAAGGUGAGUAAAUGCGUGAAAGAUAGUUUAGCACUAGUCUUGUUGUAUCUGUGUAAGAAUUGUUUGCCUAAUCCUACUUUAGGAUGAACCAGCCAUCCGACCUUAGUGUCGUUGGGAUAUAAAAUUGAAAAUGUCUUCCCAAAUGGCCUACAUUCUCGGACAAUCGUGACCAUGAAGAACUUCGGGACUGCCUUGUAGAAAGAGUCUCACAUUGUCCCCCAAGUUUUGCAGUUAAGCUUGGAGAAAACAGACGACCAAUUGCAAGAGUUGCAACUUUUAAAGAAUUUGAAAAUUUUUGGUGCCAAGACCCACAUGUCCUACAUUCACUCGUCGGGGGGUCACUUCUAUCGAGGUGUUAUGUCAAACGGUGAAACCUUUGGGGUGCUUCAAUUUUCGAAUCUAGUUUCUUUUUUGGUGUUAGCCCAUUCCAUUGGUACUUUUCUAUUUUCCUAUUUUGCUCUCCUCCUCACCACCGAUGAGACUUUAGGCUUUCGUGGUCUUUACCUUCGACAAUCUAUCCUUAGUGUGAAAUAGUUGUAGUCGCUACAUCGUCUUUCUCUAGGUAUAUGUUUCACUAGUGCUCUUUCUUUUUUACUUUUGCCUUUUUUUUUUCUUUUUUCUACCAUUGAGCACACUUAGAGUAGUGUCUGUGUCGAUGCUUCUUAGACUGGUAGUCUAUAUCAGUUCUAGCAUCAAAUCUAGUGUACUGUAGGGGUUUAUUUCAAAUGCAUUUUUUAUUUGUACUAUCGAAUCGUGUAGCGUUCUUGGGCUCAAAUAAGAGCAUAAUGUGAACUUUUGACGCAUUUUACACGUGACUUGCUCUACAAGUUAUAAUCACAUGCCGUUUAGAGUAAAAAAUGCAUCAUCUUCUCAUUAGGUGUACUUCUAGGUCAUCCUCGUGCUGAUUAGUUAGUGUUUCUGUCGCACAGGUGUUCACUCAGCCCUUUAUUUUGUCUGUAUUUUUGGACAAAAGUGGAGUCGCAUCCACAAGUGGAAAAACUUAAUACAACGAGUCUAGGUCGUUCCUUUAUGGAACGUCAAAUUGGCAAGUUGUCUGAACAAGAAUUUUGUGUUCAUUGCUACAUUCUGGACUCGAUUUCCAUUCAAUUAUCAAAUAGAGAAGCUUUGUCUACAAACGGACUUCCUCAUACCAUGGUUUACUUCACUAAAAAACAAUUCGCAGCAAGUCUCUAAUUGCCCAUCCUAUCUUUAGUGAAACAAUUUCUCCACUUCUCUAAAAUUCCAGCCACUUUCAUCCAUCCCAAUGUCAUCCAGAUCUUGAUGGGAUACAGUGUCCUAGAUGUCUUAUGCCAAUUGAACCUAUCGUUGUUGGAAGUGUUGUUUGUUUACACGAUCAAGAUGAUCCACAAAGAGUGCUUUAGCUUGUCAGCUCACAUUCCAUCCUUGUAGUUUGUAACCGAACUGCCAAACUCUAACAAAGGCUGGGCCAAGACGCGUACCGGUGUCCAACCCAUGGAAUGGGUCGAUUAAGGGUCUGAACAAGCUAUUUAAGCAUAUGCGAUCCUUGGAGAUCCCAAAUAUUGAGUGCUUUCAUGACUUGUAUAGUAUAUAUACUUAUGUUUUGUGGACCGAACUAACAAGGGCUUUGUCUGUGUAAGCAAAAAGAGACGAGGGCACUUAGUCAAGUGGGUGGAGAAGUCAUCAUUCACCCGUCUCAACAAACUGUUCAAGAUCGACCAAGUAAAACAAAAUCACAACAUGCUACUCACAAAGAAAAACUUGAAAGUUAUUCUUGUUCAUCUAAAGUCGUUUGUGAUUGCUAUUUUCUCCCGGUUAGCACCGAUGACUCUAGUGUUGACCAAGCACUUCAUGUUAAAAGGCCUGCCUUUUUACGAGGUUGCUUGACUUGCAGACGUCGUGGCACGAUAAGCUCGUUUGGACGCUCGAGAUAAGAAAAGCUAGGAAUAGACCUUACGCCAAGUUCCGGGCUCAACCUCGUUACCAGCCUCAUAUCUUGAUCGAGUGGCAGGUAGAAUCCUUUGUAGAUGACUUAAAUACGCGAUGAGAUAUUGUAAGUAGCAGAGUGGCCUUGCUGCCAUGAUCCACUGAGAUUCAACCCUAUGUCGCUCUUAUUUGUCUCUCCUCCCACACUCAACCACCCCACCACGUACACUCUCUCUCAUCUUUCCCCGAUCGUGGCCUUGAGGUUUGAACCCCUUUGGAACGCACCAGAUAUGCCUCCCGACCUUUCAACGAAUCUACCGAUCGAGAUCCAGGCUCCCUCGUCGCCACAAUCCUGCCAUGUCUCAAAAACAUGUCCAAGGCAUGGAAACUUAGAAACUUGACCCAAGACACAUGACAUGAUGUGAAACAAGACAAUACACGUGACACGUGUCUCAGUCCCUAGCUCGCAUGGUGUCGUGGAUCCUAGCUCAUCUGUGCCUCGGACCUUAGCUCUCAUGGUGCCUUAGCCUAUGGUGUCUCUGCCCCUGGCUCGUAUGGUGCCUCAACCCUCGACACGCAUGGUGGCUCAGCUUCGGGCUAGCAUGGUGCCUCAGAUCCUGGCUCGCAUGGUGCCUCAAACCCUGGCUCGCAUGGUGUCUCGACCCCUAGCUCGCAUAGUGCCUCAGCCCUCGGCAUGCAUGGUUUCUCGACCCCCGACUCGCAUGGUGCCUUGGCUCCAGGAACGCAUGGUGCCUCGACCCUCAGCUUGAAUGGUGCAUCGGCCCCCAGCACACAUGGUGCCUCAAUCCCCAACUCUCAUGCAUAGUGUCUCGGUCUUCUACUGGCAUGCAUGGUCUCUCGACCCCCGACUUCCAUGCAUAGUGCUUCGGCCCUCGGCUCGCAUGCAUGGUGCCCCUGGCUCGCAUGCAUGCUGCCUCUACCCUAUACUAGCAUGCAUGGUGCCUCAUCCCCCGACUCACAUGGUGCCUCGGCCCUCGACACGUAUGCAUGGCGCCCCUCGACUAGCAAAGACACGAGUCAUUGUCUACCCAUAAGCUCAAGAUGUUGUAGUUAGUCAGGACAAGACUCUCAAAGCAAAGAAAGCCAAACAGAGUGAAACCGUCAAGCUAGUUGUACCGCUUAUUCUUAAAGAAGCGGAGGAAGAAGAAUAAAUGGCUACUAACUUGCGAGUCGGUUUUCGUGACAACAACAAAAAAGGUUGUCUUAGGCCAUCGAAGUCGGAACUUUAGCCAAAAAAUAGAAGAGAUGUCGCAAUAAAGAGUAGUCGUCCAAGCUAGCGGCCACACCGCCUACUGUACUGAUUUUUCCAUUUCCACUUACGCCUAAGGUAGUGGACGUGGAGAGUAUCUUGUUUCACGAGCUGGGGGAAACAAUCACCAUCAUAGACGAUGAUUCUAUGCCUAGCCCUCAACAUCCACCAAUUGUUCCUGCUGACGUGCCUAGCCGGGAGAAGCUAGACAUCUUGUUGGAGCUUUUUCCCAUAUUCACCAACAUGAGCUUCUAGCAUCCCAUAUGAAUGAGUUAUUCCUUGUUUUAGAGAGGAUCCCAAUACACGUAACUGUCGAUUCCUCUCACAACUUUGAAGGACUACACGACCAUGCAGAGAGUGGAAGUGGUAUGAUUCUUGUCUCACUCCCCAAAUCCUGUCAUUCUUUUAUUGUUUGUCAUCAUGGCUCUUAUUUGAUUUUUGGUGGUAGAUCAUGGUUGGGGUCUGCAAUCUAAUAAGACAACAAACUCAUCUUUUUUAGCGACUACACAUAGUAAAGAAGAUUAAGGCAUACAUGACUAUUCAUGUGGAAAACCAACAAGAACUGCAGGCCAACCUAGAGGCAACUAAAGUAGUCGAACUCACAAGACAGCUGAAAAGGGGGUUAGUUUGUUAAGGAAAGUCAAGCUAGAAAAUGAAACCCUUCAGGCUGUUAUUCGACAGUUGAAGUUGGACAAUACUGCCCUAGGGGCCUCCAAGGCAAAAGGAGAGAAACGAAAUGUUCAGUUAAAGUUGAAGCUCAAGUAAGCCAAAACCAGCUUCAUCAGAUAAAAGAAGAAGUUGGAAGUGGCUUACCAGUGGCAAGUUGAUAACAUUUUUUUCUAUGGCUAUCGCUGUUGUAUGAAAAAACAUGGCAUUACUGAUGACAUCCCUAAUAUUCCAUUAGAUGAUGAAGACAAAGUUAUGUUAGGCGAUGAAGUCGGACAAAACAAUGGUUCGACCAUGGGAAAAGGUAGCAACUGAUGACGUUUCUUUGGAGACUCUUUGAUUCUUCUGCUCGUCCUUUGAUUGUUUUGAUUUAUUUUUUUUUUUUAGUGUAAAGAUAUUAAACUUUUUUUGCAUUUGUAUUUCCUUUGACAACUUAAUAGAAAUUUGAAGAUUUAUUCACUAGCAGUAGUGUACAUUUGUCUUGGUACUUAUACACUUAAUUGUUGAGACAUUUUGGUUUUCUCUCAAGGGAGUUUUAUGGUUCGAUUGGGCUUUUGCCUUUUUGGCUAUGCCUUGGUGUUGACUAGAGUUGUGGCAUAUAUCAUAUGCUGUAAUGAUAUUGCCACUUGGCUCUUCUUGGCACAUAGCUAUUUAGGAAUUGCAUUCAGUUUGGCUUACAGUCAUUGGCAUAAAAGGCAUACAUUAUUGAUAAUAUUUUUUCAAGUUGGCUAGAUUCCAAGGGUGGAGCAGUGGCAUGUUGUCUAUUGUUUGUAAAUGGUAUGCCCCUAACUCCCAUAUCUUGCUUACAACAUAUGGGUCUUCCCAAUUAGGUUGGAGCUUGUCAGUACCAGUUUCAACUGUGUUCUCAAAGACUCGUUUAAAAACCAAGUCUCCUGGAUAAAACAAUUGUGGUCGUGCUUACUUGUUGAACUGAGCCAUCGCUCUUUGCUGGUAAGAGGCCAUUCAGACAGUUGCAGCAUCCCGCUCUUCAUUUGUCCAAUCUAGAUGCAUUUCAAGAUUUUCACCAUUUAUUUUUUAUUCUUGCAUUGUCUUUCUGAUCAUGGGCAUUCCUAUCUCGGUUGGAAUGAUGACCUCCAUGCCAUAUGCCAAAACAAAUGGGAUGACCCCAGUAAGCCAACUGUUGGUAGUUCUAUAAGCCCAUAACAUACCGGGCAGUUUGUCUACCCAUUUGCCUUUUGCCAUUUCUAGUUGUUUCUUCAAAGAAUUCAAUAGUGUCUUAUAUGUCGCCUCUACUUGCUUAUUUAUUUGUGGAUGCCGAGGCAUCGAAUAGAAGUUCCAAAUAUUCAACUCUGAACAAAAAGUUUGAAAAACAUUGCUAUCGAAUUAUGGUUCAUUGUCUAUGAUAAUGACAUGAGGAAUUCCAAACUGGCACACAACAUUUUUCCAGAUGAACUUUGUCACGUCUUUGUCUUUGAUGCUAGCAUAGGCUUCAUUUUCCACUCACUUACUGAAAUAAUUGGUAGCUACGAACAUAAGAUUUUUCUGAGUUGCGUUGAUUGAUAAUGGGCCAACUAUAUCCAUUCCCCAUUAGGCAAAUGACCAUGGGCUAGUCACUGGGUUAACGUAGUCUAUUGGCAAUUGGGGAAUAGGUGCAUGCCUUUAACAUUGGUCACAUUUUCGGACGUAGUUUUCCGUAUCUCGUUUCAUCGUAGGCCAGUAGUAGCCUUAAGAGUAGGCCCGAUGUUCUAAGGUCCGUCCUUCUAGAUGGUUGUCACAUAUGCCCUCAUGCAAUUCAACCAAAACUUAUUGGGCUUCCGAAUUGGUCAAACACUUCAGGUAAGGCCAUCCGAAUAACCGUCUAUAUAGUUGAUCAUUAAUUAGAGUAAAUCUGGUAGCCUGGACGCGAAACUUGUGUGUUUGUUUUCCAUCAUCAGGGACUUCACCAAUGUGGAGGUAAUCAAUGAUAAGUUGCAUCCACCCUAUGUUUGUUUGGGCUAUGUCAUGGAUUCGUUCUAGUACAAUAGAAGAUGUGGGCUAGAUGUAGACUGGCAAUAAUAUGGAUUUGAUUAUUGGCAAGACGGUGACCACUCUAACCAACGUAUCUGUCUUAAUGUUCUUUUUACAGGGGAUAUGCUUGACUCACCAAUCAUUCAGCUUGCCUAGACGAGCUUCCACACUAGUAAGGUAGUGGGCCAUGCGUUCAUCCCUGGCCUCGUAUUCUCACUAAAUUUGCCCGCUCACCAACUAGGAAUCACUUCACACUUCCAUUUUUGUUGUUUCAAGCACUAAAACGAAGUCGAGGCCAAUUAUUAUUGCUUUAUACUCAAUCUUGUUAUUAGAUACGAGAAAAUUGAGGCAGACAAAUUGCUCGAUCUGCUCCCUGGUAGGGGAGGAUAGCAUGAGCCCUACUCCAGCUUUUGAUGUUCUUAAGGCUCCGUCUACAUGCAGGAUCCACCAUUGGUCGGUUGUAUCAAUCCGUACCUGUUUUUGGGGUAACUCGGCAAUGAAAUCAAUGAGAUACUGCCUUUUCAAGGACAACCGAGGCUUAUAUCAUAUGUUGUACUCACUUAAUUCAAUAACCCACUUCAUUGUCCACCCGGAUAAAUAUAGUUUGUGCAAGGUGACCCUCAGCGGUUGAUUUGUCAGAAUUGUUACUUUGUGUGCCUAGAAGUAUGGACGAAACUUUUUCAUAGCAAUAUGCAAUACCAACAUUGUCUGCUCCACUUGAGAAUAGCGGGUUUCAACAUUUACCAAAGCUUUACUCACAUAGUAAACUAGUUUUUGCCCAUUGCUCCAGACAUGUCGGAAUAGGACGGCGCUAACUGCGUAUUUGAACACAACGAUAUACAUGUACAACUUCUCACUGACUUCCGGACUACUUAAAAUAUGAGGUUCUGUUAGGCUAGCCCUUAAUAGCGCCAAAGGCGCUUUUACAUUCUUUUGUCCAACCAAACAUUUGUGUUCCGUGUAAAGUGGUGAAAAAAUGACAGAGUUUAUUAGUGAAACGUGCUAUGAACCGACCCAAGCCUACUAGACGGCCUGUGAGUUGCUACAUUUCCUUCUUAGUGGAAGGAGUGGAAGUCUCGAGCACGACUUUUACUUGGGUUGGGUUCACUUCAAUUCCUCUUUAAGUCACCAUAAAACUGAGAAACUUGCCCGCACUGAUGUCAAACACGCAUUUGAGCCGGUUAAGUUUCAUGUUGUACUUUCAUAUCAACCCAAGCACCUCUUCCAAAUGUUGAAUGUGUUCUACGCAUGUUUUGCUUUUGAUGACUAUGUUAUCAAUAUACACUUCCAUUAUUUGGCCUAUCAACAACUUAAAAAUUUUCAUCAUCAACCUCUGGUAUGUUGCUUCUACAUUCUUGAGCCCAAAAAACAUGAUGUUGUAGCAAUACAGUCCUUACGGUGUGAUGAAAGUCGUUUUCUCUUUAUCCAGCUAGAAUGGUGAUUUAGUGGUACUUGGAAAAGGCAUCAAGGAAGGAAAGCAUUUCAUGUCUGGGCGUUGAAUCGACAAUCUGAUCAAUCUGGGGCAAAGGGAAGCUAUUCUUUGGGCAAGCAUCAUUUAGGUUUGUGUAAUCCACACAUACUUGCCAUGUUCCUCCUUUCUUUGAGACUACCACAACAUUGGCCAAUCAGUCCGAAUAGAUGACUUCCCAGAUAAAGCUAGUCGCUAACAACUUAUCAAUUUCCGUCUGGAUUAUUUUCUAGUGGUCUGGGUAGAAGCAUCACACUUUCCAUCGUAUAGGUCAUGUAUUUAGGAGAAUAUUCAAUUUAUGAAUAACUACAAACGGGUCGAUUCCCAACAUAUCUGAAUGGGUAUAAACGAAAAUAUCUGUGUUUUACCGAAGCAUAGCUUCCAGGUGACGUUGCUCCUCCAUUGUUAGCAAAGAGUUGGUGUUUGUCACAUGACCCUCUUUGUCUGAUAAGGGCAAGGGUAGUAAGGGGUUAACAGUCGGUGGAUCUCUCUUCGCUUUUUGUUGUAAUUGCUAUUAGUCCUUCGCACUUGAUGACUCAAGUUCAUAUCCAGCUAGGUUUAUCUGCCCUGCUUCUACAGUCACUUGGUAGCAUUGCCUAAAGACCAGUUGGCUACUGAGUAAGUUUACUUGCCCAACCUCAGUGAGGUAGCUUACCAUUUGAUGAUAUGUAGACAGGAUGAUUUUCAUUUUGUGUAGCAAUACCUGUCUCAUAAUAGCAUUGUAUGGUGAUAAAUCCUCUACCAUUGAGAAGCGGACAUUCAAGAUGAUAGAGCUGACUCAGGCGAGUAGAAAAUCACCUAGAAACACUAUUGAGACCCCGUUAAAUCCAUUCAAGACACGACCCAAAUUUUCCAAGGUAGAUGGAAAAUUUUCCCCUAUUGCCUGUACGCUGACAUCUGUAAAAGGUCUACAGAGCUACCUGGAUCAAUUAAGACUCUGCGAACGUCAAAGUCGUCGACUCCUAGUGUUAAGACCAGGGCAUCCACAUGUGGUAGAAACACCCAGAUAGAGUCAAUUGGAGGGAAAGUAAUAGGCCCAUCAAUUGGCCGAACAUUGUCAUCAGUGAAUGUACACUGAACGGUAUUUACUCAUUCCUUUACAGAGGUUGUAUAAACCAAUAUUCGCCUCUACUUUCUAGGUUGAUAUUUAUCAUCCACGAGUCCAUUAUGGAUAUAAUUGAUUAUCACCCUAGGCACCAUAAGAGACGUAAGGGCUCAUUCAAUUCCCUUUGUUUCAUCUCAUCCGUCUGAGGUACAGACGUACUUCUUGAGGUGUCUAACCUUGAUGAGUUUUUUUAUAAGGUAGUGUAGAUUUUUGCACUAGUCCAUGGUGUUUCCAUGCUCUUUAUGGUAGGAGCAUCAUCGUUUCCAGUCUCGUCGUCUGGUCGGAUCAGUUUUGAUUGGCUCUGGCCAUUUGAAUUUGAGCAGCUCUCAAAUUAAUGGGAGAAACCUUUCAUAUGAGACAGUCAGUGGAGUGACCCUUAAAGGUUGUUGUUGUCAUCCGUCUUGCUUCCAUCCCCCUUGUCUAAACCGAUUGUUCAAGGGUUUUGAGCUUUCAGCUUUGUUAUUCUUCGCUAACCAAUUCAUGACCAAAAUUUGUUGAAAAACUGCUCAAACAUCAUCUUUGAGCAUAGCAUAUUUAUCUGCUCAUCUGAAUAAGUCAUCCAUUGAAGCAGGUGGCUUCUUGGCGAGAGACUCGAAGAACUGAGUACCCGGGCUAAUGCUUUAUUUAAAGAUCUGGAGAAUAGCAUCCAUGUUGUGGGACUUGACCUAGAGCACCGUCUGGCCAAAUCGCUUCAUGAAGUCUCUCAACAACUCGUUUUCUUACAUUUUAUGUUCUGUAAGGUGUUUAUAUUCUACUUCUAGAGCGUGUAACAUAAGUAAUGGACGACAAAUGCCUCAGAGACAUCGUGAAAAUAAUUGAUGGAGUUUUGUGGGAGCCAAUAAAACCAGGAAAAAAUCAGACCAUAAAAGCUAGCCGAAAAAACUUUGCAUAGCAGCACAUCGUUGUCGAUAUCUAACAUCAUGAGCUGCUAGUAGUGUAGAAAAUGGUCGAAUGGAUCGUUCAUCCCAUCAUACACGGUGAACUUGGGCACUAGGAACCCUUUGAGGGACUCGUAGUUGAUUAUAUGAAGGAUGAACAACAUGGAUAGCAUAUCAUCCAGUUUUUGGUUGAUAGUGCCGAGUAAGGCCUUAGUCGUGGGCUCCGGUACUAGCAGUUUUGUCUAUGAUGGCAAAAAGCUUGGUGACGCCUCCUAUUUAGUUUGACCCAAUCGAGCUUUCAAGGCAUCGAAGAUGCGAUGGGAUGUUUACGUCCUUUGGCCUUAGGGACCCAGUCGGGCCCUUAUGGCAUCAGAUAGGCAAAAGCCCCAUUGCUAUCCUUUUUUUCGCUUCCCUUUAGUGGAACCAACAGCUUCAUCGGGGAAGGAGGGUUGAUAUGUUGAUGGAUAAACUAGCUCGGACCAGGUAUGAGAACUGCUAGAGGACAAGUCUUCUUCCUAUGCAUGAUGAAAUGACUCAGUGUGCCUUCGAGAUGAGCGUGCCACCUGGCUAUGACUCCAUUUUGUGUUGGUCGGUUAAGUAAGGGUAUGACAGUUUGUGAGCAACGCCCUUUAGCCAUCAAAGCGUGCAACCCUUGGUUCUCUUGUUUUAGUUGUUCAUCCUACUAGAAUAGGGACUGCAUGCAACGCUCAUUUUCUUCUUACCUUUUUUCCAUUCUUGCUUGUCAAGCCUAGAAACAAUCAACCAUGGUGGCUGACUAAGAUAUAGGAGAAGUGUUGGUCAUAAUGCUUCAGUGUUUUUUGUUCAGUUCCCAUAAACGGUGUCAAUGUUGUUGCACGGUUCAAAUGGAGUUUCCCAUCUAGCUCUUAAAGGGUUGAAAGAAUGGCAUGACCAACGAUACUUGUCCGUCUAGCUUGCUUGCGAACGACUGUGUGACACUUACAUGAAAGGUUGUCCAGACAGUCUGCUCAAGCAUGCUUCUCCGAUGCUAAAGUCAGUAAGUGGCUUAAGCAAGUAAAAGAUUGUUGCAAAAAGAAAGUGCAUACCAUUUGUGGAUUCUGCAUGGCUAUUUAUGUUUGCUCAAGUGUAAUGUUUUUCCAAACGUCUUAAUAGCACCUUAAUUGCACUUGAUUGUGCGAUAUUAUGGCUUUGACUAUCGAUAUCUAACAAUUGUCUUGCCUUAAUGAGCCGCCAAUAAUGGAAUGUCUUCUAGUAAUGGUCGCAUUUAAUACGGAGCAUGCCUAGUGCGCAAUUUGCACAUUAAAGGUGAGUAAAUUUUGUAGAGGAUAGUCCGACGCUAUUAUUACUAUAUCUAUGUAAGAAUUAUCCAUUUGACCCUACUUUGGGAAGAACCAGUCAUCCGGUCUUAGGGUCAUUGGGACAAACGGCUGAAAGUGCCUUCAUAUACGACCUACAUUCUCGGACGGCUGUGACGAUGAAGGAAUUCGGGAUGACCUUGCAGAGAGUGUCUCACAGUAGUGAAUAAGACAUAUUCGAAUAUGGGAUUUACUUUCUAAAUAUUUCAUAUUAAGAGAUAAAUCUAGAAAAUCAAGCAAAGAGCUUCAAGUGUAACCAAGUAUUUUAAUAUUCUCAAAGAAUUGUUAAUUGAAUUGGACCUGUACACUGCCAUAAAAAUGGAGUCACCAAUUGAUGCAAGGCGAGUAAAGGAAAUACUUGAACAUGAUAAAGUUUACCAAUUUCUUUUAGGGUUUAAUCUUGAAUAUGAUCAGGUUUGAGAUCAUGUAUUAGGGAAAAAACCUUUCCUUGAUCUGCAUGAAGCAUUCAUGCUUAUAAAAGGUGAAAAAAGUUAUAGAGAGUUAAAGGGGAAAAAUGUGAGGAUUUUAACCUAGUUAUAGAAACUCUUGCCCUCAAAACCAACAAUAUUGAAAAAGUUCUUAUUGCUGGAUAGCCCCGAAGUUCCAGGAAAAAUGACCAACAAGACAACCAGUAUGAUAAUAAGUAGUGUGACUUUUGUAAGAAGUUACGCCACACUAGAGAAACUUACUAGCAAAUUCAUUGCAAACUUAGGAAUAUACUAAAUCAAAAAAAGCUAAAUGAAAAUGCUACUCAUGCCUUUAAUGUUGGACCAGUUAAAUAUAAAAUUAUGAACAAUGGAGAACAAGAGGCCAAGUCUUUCGCAAAUGAGCAAUGGAAUUUAUUGCAUCGCAUCAUUAACAUAUCUAAGAGCCAAUACAAUCUUUCCCCUACUUGUGUUUUAGCUGAGCAAGGUGAUUUAAAAAAUACUCUCAGUGUCAUUCUAGGUAAUAAAGUCUCAUGGAUUAUUGAUUCAAGGGCUUCUGACCAUAUGACUAGUUGUUUUAAUUUAUUUACUUAUAUUUUCCAUGUUUGGGAAUAAAAACAUAUGGAUUACCAAUGGUACAUUAUCAUCAAUUGCUAGAAAAAGGGUUUAUACCUCUCUCAAUGUCAUUCUAGGUAAUAAAGUCUCAAGGAUCAUUGAUUCAGGGGCUUCUGACCAUAUAACCAGUUGUUUUAAUUUGUUUACUUAUAUUUUCCAUGUUUGGGAAUAAAAAUGUACGGAUUACUAAUGGUACAUUAUCAUCAAUAGCUGGAAAAAGGGUCUAUACCUAUUUCAAAAAACUUGACCUUAAAUUUUGUUCUUCAUGUCCUUAAUUUGUUUCCAAAUGGUAAAUUUACUAAAAAUAGUCAUUUUGUUACUAAAUUCUCAUCUCAUUGUUGUGAAUUCUAAGAUUUGGAUUCGGGAAGGACAAUUGACAAUGCUAGAGAAAUAAAUGGGUUGCACUACUUGGAUGAUGAAAAUCUCUUCGAAAGGCAAGCUCAAGUGGCAAAUCAGUCUUCAUCUGAAGAAAUUAUGUUAUGGCAUUUUAAAUUAGGGCAUCCUAGUCUCUCUUAUCUGCAACAUUUGUUUCCAAAGUUGUUCAAAAAUAAACAAGCCUCAAAACUUCAGUGUGAAUUUUGUGAACUUUCUAAACGUCAAAGGCUCAAUUCCUGCCACAACCAUAUAAAAAAUUUAAUCCUUUUAUCCUUGUGCACAGUGAUGUAUAAGGACCCUCAAGAGUGAACAACAUUAUAGAAACAUGAUGGUUUAUCACUUUCAUUGAUGAUGACAAGUUUGUGUUGGGUAAACUUGUUAAAGGAAAAAUUCGAGGUUGAGCAAGUGUUCAAAAACUUCCAUGAGAUAAUCUAAAACUAAUUUGGAAUAAAAAUAAAAAUGUUACGAACUAAUAAUGAGAAAGAAUACUAUUCCUCUAUCCUUGGUACAUACCUUUUAGCAAAUGGUAUUAUUCUCCACUCUUCUUAUAUCAAAAUACCCCAACAAAAUAAAGUGAUAAAAAUAAAUAAUAGACACCUUUUUUAAGUAGCCUGAUCACUCACGAUCACAAAUCAUGUUCCAAAAAAAUUAUGGGGUAAGGCCAUUUUAAUUGUUUCUUAUCUAAUAAAUAGAAUGCCUUAUCAGGUCCUUGAUUUUGCCACACCUCUAUCUACUUUCAUUUAGUUUUACCCUACUACAAAAUUAUUCACCUUUUUUCCUCUAAGAAUCUUUAGUUGCAUAAUAUCCUUUCAUGACCAUGAUCCUCAUCAUAGUAAGCUUGACCCUAAAUCCAUUAAAUGUCUUUUCCUAGGAUACUCACAAACCCAAAAAUAGUACAAUUGUUAUGAUUCUAGCUAUCACUUAAAAGAUGUUUAUCAAUCUCGAUAUCACCUUUUUUGAAAACCAACCAUAUUAUGCCCACACUCACCUUCAAGAGGAGGAUUCUAAUGAAGCCUCAUUUUGGGAAAUCAUUUAUCUAUCCAUCUCCUCAUUUGAGAGCAUGCCUUCUAUUCCUGUUCAAUAACUUAUUUGUUUUGCUAUCUCUUCUUUAUCUUUUUCACCUUUGUCAUCUUCUCUGUCUAGAAUGCCAACACAACAACUAAGGGAAGAAGAUUUGCCACAACCAAACAUUCAUGUCUACUCUAAGAGAACUAAUCCAAGGAAGAUAAAACAAAUAUUGGUGCACUACCAAGAACCCAAACCGAUAUCCAUUGAUCUUGAAGGCAUAGGUAAUUCUUAUUCUUCUCUUUUUGUUGUGAUCUUGAUUUACCUAUUGCUCUUAGAAAAGGAACCUGAUCUUGUACACUUCAUCUAAUUUCAAAUUUUGUGUCCUAUCAUCGUCUUUCACAUUCCUAUAAAGUUUUUUUGCCUAACAUGUCCAAUGUAGUUAUUCCUAAGCCAGUGUAGGAAGCUUUCAUUAUUCUUGAGUUGAAGAAUGCAAUCAUGGAGGAAGUUAGGGUUUGGAAAAAGUACUAGAAGGAAAGUCUCAUGUUGGAUGUAAAUGGAAUAUUUCAGUGAAGCACAAACCAGAUAGGACUAUUGAUUGAUUCAAAGCAAUAUUAGUGGCAAAUGGAUAUGCUUAGACAUAUGGAAUUGACUAUCAAGAAACGUUUGCAUCAGUUGCUAAGAUGAAUACUAUGAGAGUUUUAUUGUCUCUUACUGCAAAUUUGAAUCAACAUCUCUACCAACUUGAUAUCAAAAAGGCUUUUCUGAAUGGUAAACUUUAAAAAGAAGUCUAUAUGCAGUUACCACUUAGCUUUGAAGAAAAUUAUGGUAGAGAAAAUGUGUGCAACUUAUAACAAUCAUUGUAUGGAUUAAAGCAAUCUCGUAAGGCUUAGUUGGAUCGUUUUCCAAAGUCUAUUAAAGUAGUAGAGUAUCUAUAAAGUCAGUUAGAUCGCACCAUUUUUUCAAUUUUUCCAAGGAAGGUAAAACAACCAUCUUAAUAGUAUAUGUUGAUGACAUAUUUUUUACAAAGGAUGAUGCCUAUGAAAUUGAUCACUUGAAAAAUGAACUUUCAAAGGAAUUUGAGAUGAAGGAUUUGGGUCUUCUAAGAUAUUUCUUGGGUAUGGAAGUGGCGCAUUCAAAGAUUGGUGUGUUAGUCACAUAGAGAAAAUAUGCACUUGACUUGUUGAAGGAAUGCUAGGUUGCAAGCCUACCAAAGUUCUAACCAAUCCAAACCAUAAAAUUAGCCUCAUCGAAUGAGAUAAAAGUGUUGAUAAGAAAAGAUACCAAAGACUUGUGGGAUAGUUGAUUUAUUUGUCACAUAUCAAAUCGAAUAUAGCCUUCUUUGUUAGUGUGGUAAGCCAUUUCAUGCAUGCACCUAAGGGGAAGCAUUUAGAAGCUAAGUACAAAAUCCUAAGAUACCUCAACAAAACUUUAAGUGGGGGUUUAUUAUUAAAAAAGGAUUAACAUAUUCUAAUGGAAGCAUUUAUAGAUGCAAAUUGUGUAGGCUCGAUUGUAGAUAGAAGAUUUACUUCGAGUUAUUGUAUGUUUAUUAGUUGAAAUCUUGUAACCUGGAGAAGUAAGAAAUAAAUAGUGGUGGCAAGAAUUAGCGUCGAGGCAAAAUUAAGAAUUGUGGUUCAAGGUAUGUGUGAGCUUCUUUGGUUGAAAAAACUACUUGAAAAACUAAGGAUCAAGAUUGAAGGACCAAUGAAGCUCUACUAUGAUAACAAGACAACCAUAAAUAUUGCUAACAAUUUGGUGCAACAUGACAAAACGAAACAUGUUGAGAUAGAUAAACAUUUUAUUAAAGAAAAAUUGAAGAGUGGAUUAAUCCGCAUGCCUUUCAUGUCAACUAAUGAACAAUUAGCAAAUAUCUUCACCAAAGGUCUACCCAAGCAAGCAUUCGAGCUACUAGUCAACAAGCUAGGUCUCAUUGAUAUUUUCAAACUAGAUUGAGGGGGAAUUUAGAAAAACAACGUAGAUUAUUCUUUGACUUUCAAAAAUUAAGGCCAAACUUUUUUCUUAAUUUAAACAUAAUAUUUUUAGGCAGUUAAGGAUAGGAUCAUAAUUAGAAAAAUAAAUAUUAUUCUUUAAUGUAUUUCCAUGUAUAUUACAACCGAUUUCUAAGAAUUCUAGUUGUAUAUUUUUUUUUCCUGUAUAUUUUGUAUUUAUUCAUACUAUAAAGAAUCAGAAAAAGUCUUCCUCAAUAAAAUCUUUUAUUCUAGUUUUUCCAUGGUUGCACACACUUUUCAUUAAUUAACUUAACCAUUGGAGAAAGGUCAGUCUAAGUUACCCAUUUUCCCUAUCUUUUUCCCUCCCCUUAAACUUUAUUGUUUUUCUAUAUUCUAGUUGAUAGGUGGUGCUUGAUUUAGCAGUGUUAGAAUGAGAAUCAAAUAGAUUGGCAUCAUCUUUGGGAACACACAUUCAAAAGCUUGUAUUUGGAUUAAGGUAGUAACUAUUAGAUAGAGCCCUUAAAAACAUGGCAUGAUAUAACAAUAAAUGGAUUUCAUGAAUAUUUAUAUUAUAAUUUCAAUUUUCCAUUCACUAUCUUAUUUUUGCAUUAUGUAUGUGUGGACCCCGCAUUUCGGCUCAAUGCGUUUCCCACUGGAUGGCGAGCUCGAUUUUUAUUUGAAAAAUUGAUUUUUAUUGAUUAUUUGAAAAUGACUUGGAGUCGCCACUUAUUUUUGUUUUAUUUUUAAAGGGUAAACAAAAUAAGAAAGAAAAACCCUAAGUGUGACUCCUUAUUUUGGAAAAGAUUGGUCUACGAAAAACCGGAUCAAGUUCGGGGGUCAGGUUACUUAUCGGGAAGGUACGGUAAAGACCGUAGCACCCCUCUAAGUCCCUAAGUCGGGUCUCUACUAAUGAGAUGAAGCUGACAUGGCAAUCAAUGUGAAAAUCAAUAAAUACUCGAAUCAAUCAUGCACAUAUGAGAGUUAGAAAAUACAUAUAAACUAACCAGAGUGGGAAUGAGUGUGUACCUGAGCAGCGAGCCACUAUGCGCUAUCAAGAGAGAGGGUUAGUGCAAAACAAUGAUCACAAGAUAUAGCAUACAUGUCACUAAACUGAAUACAAAAUCAUCAAUAGCACAUGUGUCAUUUCACUCAAUUUUAUUUUGAUGAAAAUUUAUUUGAUGUUGGGCCCCCACCAAAGCCCUUUUAUUUUGCAUGAAUCAAUUCCAUAAAUUCCAUCACUUGGAAUUACGGAAUUUAAUUCUUACUUAUUUUAAAAACAUUUUGAAAAUAAAGAAAGUGCAAAAGUGGCUUGCCGGAAAGAAAAUGGCAAUCAAAUUUUAUUGAAAAUGGGAUGUUGGUACCUAAAAACCCUAAGGAUGGAAAAUUUGAUGAUUUGAAAUCAUUUAAAAAAACCAAAAAUUGGAAAAUCACUUCAAAACGGGGUUGGAAAUUAUUAUUUUGAAAUCAAAGGGAAAGAGCUUGAGGGGGUGGUACAUGGCUCAAUAAGUGGCCAUGCUAGAGGUGGCCAUGCAUACCUGCCUCAGAGGUUUGAUUGGGUGCUUGGAUAGUCACCUGUUAUGAGGACCCUGCUCACCCUUCACUGCCUGCAGCUAUCUAGGAGCCAUUAGGGGACGCCAAUUCUCCAUGUGAUGAUGAAUUAGCAUUCAACACUGCUUGCUCAGCUUGAAUAGGACGAGUGACAUUAGCAUCUUCAAGGCUGCCCUCAAUGCAAAAUGAAACACCAAGCCCAUCAACUCUCAAAUCAGUCACAUGAUAAGCACCACUGGCAACUGUACCCCACUUCAUAGCAUAUUCCUAAUUCUCUGUUACCAAUACACCAUACUUCAAAUUUUAUCUCAUCAUCAGCCAUCAGUAGAAGGACAUCAUCAUCUUCAGUUAGCAUGUGCUCAAACUAUCCCUGUGCUGAGGAUUUAAGAUCAUUCAUAUGUGGAGGAGAUAUGCAGCAGUGUCUGGGUACAUAUACGACAGUCAACACGCAUCAAAUGGAAGAUGUCAAUGACUUCGUUAGGUCUUUUUCGCUUUCCCCAGAAAUAUUGACUCUUUGAUUGAGCUCGAGCCUCCACCUAGUGCGCUGAAGGCAUAAGGUAAGCUGACGAACCUCUAAGAGGAAUGGCAGGAGCAUGUCGUCACAAAGGGUUUUGAUAUGGCGUGCAUGGCUACCAUAGCAAGGUUCACAGCGACUCUCGCUCCUGCUGCCGCUUCGAGUCGCUGAGCACUUCUGGAAAGAUUCUGGAUAAGAUGAGAUACCCAGAGUGCAUCCGCAACAUGGAGAAGUACAUCACUUUCCCGUGAGAUCUUUUGAAGCUCAAUGACACGAUCUUCCUCAGAAGCAGACAGCCUCAGAAGCUGCCUCUGAGACUCUUCAAACUUUAAUGACAUGGUUGAUAGCUGCUUCUUGGAUUCCUCGGCAUCGGUGUGUUAGGCACAUGGCUAGAAGGCGACAUUUGCUCAGACACUAAUAGGUGAUGUAGGCUAUUGAUGGAGCCAUGGUUGCAGGUGUUUCAUCAUCUCUGUCUAGCCUGUCCACUCCAUAGCCACCAAAAAUACGAACAUAAGAUUGCAACUCUCUAAGAUCAGUAACUGAUUCGGCGAAGUAUCCACCCACAGGCCUCGUACUCUUGAAGCAUUUGUGGAUUGGUGCAAAAAGGAUUCCAGCACCUGAUAUAUCCUUUUCAAUGUUCUCAAUGUACCAGUAGCAAACCACUUCAGUUGCUGAUCCAGUAUUUAGAUCAGCUGGUUUCUCAAACAAAUGCAGAGAAGAAACUAGCCCUGAAAAGAUCUCCGAGAGAAAACUCCUCUGAUUCCCUGGGUUAGGUCCAUGCUAAUGAUCAAACCUUCUAUCCGUGUUCAGGGAACCCACUACAGUGUGCUUUAGAAGGUUCCCUUCCCGAAUCACCAUAUAAUAACUGAGGCAGAGCUCAUAAUAACCUGUAGGUUGGCAACCCGGUUUUCACAUCAAGACUCACAUGGUCACAGAUCGCCUUUGCAGUCUCAUACUCGACAUGGGUCGUUGCAAUUGUAAUUCCUCUCUUCUUCUCUUUAGGAGCCUUGUCAAUUUCAUCGAGGGCAACUACCUUUGCUUUUCCUUCCUCUGCCAGCACCCUUGUAAUAGCAGCAGUCAACGUAGUCUUCCCAUGAAGACUCACAAGCUGUUCUACAUUGAAGGGUGGAGUUUCAUAGUCAUCAUUACCCAUGCUGCCAACAAUGGAGAGCACGUCCAGGUGUAGUCAUGCGAACUGUGCUCUUGUAACCCUCUUCUGCCCAUACAGUUUUCUAGGGUCCCACUUGGCUUUCAUAUGGCCAUUUACCUAGCAAGCCCUUCACAAGUAACGACAAACACAUACUCUUUUGAAUUAUUUGCCCAGAUAUGCCUGGUGACGUAGAGGCUUGGUCCACAAUGAUUUCUGAAGAAAUUGCCCCAUGAUACAUCAGCACUAUUUGGGUUAGUUUCCCAAGUUCUUUGUCUUAUCAAUGCUUUUGGAAAUGAGAUCAAACUCCAUAUAGAACCAAGGGAAUUCCUCCAUAUUUUAAAGCACUAGGAUGGAUCAUGAGAACAAUUAUCAUUACAGUCUCUGGUAGUCGAAGAGCUGUAAAUUGAUAAUAGAACUGAUUUAUACAAACCAGUUUUCAAGAUACUGAAUCCAAUAGGAGGGUUUGGGGUGUGCCGUACCAUUUCUGAGAACGAAAACAACACAUUAAAACCAUGCUUAUGAACUGCACAGCAACAUGCAAGCAUUGCUAUUUCUAAUAAAUCCCAAGAAUGGUCGUGCUUAGCAUGUGCACUGCUAUCCACAGAUGUGUUCUUUCAGGUUCCUGUGCAUGAGUGUUUCAGCCAUCAUGAGAUCUAAUUCCCCCAACAGAUUGAUCCCUUUGAAAUUGUCACCAAAUUACUUUUCAACUGAUAGAGCAUCAUCAAGAUCAGUAGCAGUAGAAGAAACAAUAGUAAACAAGCACAAACUUCUAAGAUCUCUUCUUCUUCUUAGUCUCAAAUUCAGGCACAUCUCCUUUAAAAUAUAUUGAGUUGUAGUGAACCUCUGCCCAAAACUCAAAAGCAUUACCCGCUCAUCGGUGAUUUUUCAUAAUGGUGAACCACUUCCUAUUGCAACAUACCAUUCUUUACUACUGGAAGCGCAGAUCACAGCAAUUGGUUGAGUCAGUGGUCAUUGAAGAAACUAGAGCAGCCUUAAUGGAACUAGCAACGAUAUCAUAAAUACCGAAGCCAUCAUGAGGGCCAGAUGAGAUGGCAGAGGUGAUGAAUCUACAUCAUUCCAUCUUCUCCUUGGGCUUCACACUUGGGCCACUUAUUCCUUUCUCUUUGGAAGCUUAGGCAUGAGAUCUUCGCCUUGGCAAGAAAGAGUAUCGGUGAUGUACAGCCAGCCCAACCUCGAUCGAUUCCCUUAAUCCUUGCAUUGAGUGUCCACAAGAAUGACAUAUAGUGCAUCAAUGAGGCCCCUGAAUUGUGAAGCUUAAAGUAUCUCCGUUUUGGUCCAAACCAUCUCCUGAAAUUUACAUCUAUACAAAUUGCAUACCAAGCUGUAGCAUGAAUGCCAAGAAGCAUACUGCAGCUAGAUAUGUCUGAAUAUGGGCCAUGGCUUAGCGGCCUUUUAUCCGGUUCUGGCUCAAAGGGCAUCAACCUCAGCAAUGAAAACAACAACACGUCGAAAUAAGUGGCACCAUGAUAGAAAUGGGUAUAGAGAAUGAUUAACGGAACGGCUCAUGGAGAUAUAUACUUAUGAAUUCAUGCAUGAUGAGGACAAAUGGGAGAGAUGGUGAUACUGUAAGAGAGAUGGGCUGAAUGGUGGAAUUGGAAAAUGGGUAUGGAAGGUGUAUGAUGUGGGCAAAAAUGAACUAGAAGAGAUAGCAACAGGUUGAGGAGGCUUCACACCAGUUGUGAAUAGUGACUAUCAGGCCUCUGUCAUAUAUUAUCUUGAGAGUGUUGGGUCCAUCUUCUGCAGCCACAUUCAUUACCCACGCAUUUUUUCUUUCAGAGCAGCUGCAAAUGAUCCCAUGUUUGCCAAGAUCUCCAUGUGACUCAACCACUUUCAUUCCACGAUUGCCCAUAUAGAGCAGCCUUCACCCUAUCCAUGUCAUGCUGAGGAAUUCUUUCUGUUAUGCACACAAUAGGAUCCAGUUUAAUUCCUCCCUCCAUGAUAGCUGCAAUGAUAAACCCUUCUGUGAGCUCACAGGGGACCCCACAUAGUCGCGGCCUAUACCUUGUGUUCUGCACCAUGAAGAGAAACAAAGCCCUCUGCUACAUCCAAAGCAAUUUUCAUCCUUGUUGACCAAGUCAGUGUAGCACACACUAGGGUGGCCAUAGAACAUUUCUCUUCUUUCUCUUCUUAUGCUUUGGUGACUGGAGAAUCACCUUAAUAGCAGCCUCAGAGACAGCCUUCACAUUCUGCUGUAUUUUUGAACUACACUCAAUGUAAGCAAGAGCUCCAAUCAGCUUUCUUAGUCCCCCUCCGUGAGCUGUGAUAAUGGGCACUGUACCAAGAUGAUCUAUGAAGAACUGAUUACCAUCUCGAAUAUAAAGCCUUGUCCCGACAAGAAUUAUUGGAAUACCAGGUGCAUAACGCCUCAACUCAGGAACCCAUUUCUUGGCAAUAUUUUCAUAGCUAGCCUUGUUAGUGAGGGAGAAAACAAGCAGAAAGACAUUUGCACCACGAUAGCUCAACUGUCUCAACCUAUUAUAAUCCUUCCAGCUGAAAUGAGCAAGGAGACUGCUGAGUUUCUCCUCUCCUGUCACUUAUCUCCCACUCUCAAGCUAUUCUCUGUUCUUCUCAAAUUCCCAGCUUGUUUUUCAAGCUCUCCAUAUCUCUCUAUAAUCUCAGCUUCCUCUCUCAUUGAAUACGCUCUCCUGACGACAGCUCUCAUACGGCAACAUAUAGCCCAUUCACCACUGAAGAUAUAUCCUCUGUAACUCUUUGCUCCCACGGGCAGAAAUGGGAAUAAGGAUGCACCCCAUGAACAAGUACCAGAAACAGGGGAAGAUGAAAACAGAGUGCAAAUAAUGGGAAUAAAAAUGAACUCAUCUAUCAAUCAAUGAGCUCAUACGAGGGUGAGUGAAAUCAAAUGAGUACCAAAUAAAAAUCAAAACAAGGUUACGAAUAUCUCAUGGGGAAACUGAAACAGAGCCAAACAAGUCCUCAACAAAAAUCAUUAAAGAAAGAGAGAUAUGAGCAUGCUUACUCCCAACCAACAAAAAUCAUCCAAGAAUCAACAAAAACAAGAGAAGAAAAACUUACCAGUAGAAGCGAAUGAGAAAUCCACAAUAAACAUACCUGAAAAUCCUCUCCCGCUAGGUUGGCCAGAAAUCAGCAAGCCAUCCUUCUUCUUCCUCUUUGAGACCGUUUCUUUUCAACUGGUAUUCUCUCUACCGCAAGCUUCACUCCCUGGUUUUCCUUAAGCUGAGCUAUGCUCCUCAAACUCAUAGAACCUCCCCCCCGGAAGCUCUCCACACCAGCCUCUCCUCCUCUCCUGAAAAAUAUCCUCCUAACUGUCCCUAAGCUCCCAAAAAAGCUCUCCAGAAUCUCUCACAGUCGUCCAUGGGCUCUCCCCUCCAGUUGCUCUCUCUUCCUUUCUCUGCUGAGAACCCUCCUGAAAAUAUCUCCUCGCGGCCCGGAAAAAGCAACCAAGCAACUGGCCACCUCGCUCCUCUAACCGUCUACAGCUUUUCUGCAUAUUCCUUGGACACGUGUCGACCUAUGGUUGGCCAUCAAAAACACCAUUCUGGUGCCCCAACAGCCAACCAGAGAUUGACACGUGGCCACCCUAGAUGGCCACACCUGUCAAAAAUGGCUGCAUAAAAGCAAGCCUAGAAUGGGGGUNNNNNNNNNNNNNNNNNNNNNNNNNNNNNNNNNNNNNNNNNNNNNNNNNNNNNNNNNNNNNNNNNNNNNNNNNNNNNNNNNNNNNNNNNNNNNNNNNNNNCAUUGUACAUAACUUGGGUGCAUUAGGAGUUGCACAAAAGAUCCAAGUCAUGAGUUCCUUAUAAUUGAUGACUCAUUCAUAGUUGGUUCAUAGACUUAGGUAGUCCAUUUGAGGUUGUAGUACAGUACUUCUUAAUUUGAGGGAUGACUUACCAUAGUCAUUGAGAUGGUUUCCCAUGAUGAGUGCACUAGUAUGUAUGACUACACUAGUAUGUAUGACUACACAUUAAAUAAGACUUACGAUAAGUCAUGACAUUGUAUCGUGUAAUCAUGAUUUCAAAAAGCUACUAUGUUAUAUGAGUUCUUAACCUUGAGAGAAUAUUAAGUUAGUGUUAAAGUCUUCAAUGGCUCUAACAUACAGUAAGAUCCUAAGGUGGUCAUAAGUUAUCUAUGGAUUAGGUCAUUAUUGGUUAAGGCGGGUGAAAAUAGGUAUUCUCAAGAAAUGUACCAUAAUAUCUCAUAAGUUUGAAAUAGUAUGUCUCUUUGGGUGAUCAUAAGAGUAUGCAAUCACAUGACUGUAGUAAUUCAUUAAGUGGAAUUUGACAUAUGCUCUUAGAAAGUUAGAGUAUGUUAGUUGAUCAUAUAAUAGGAAGAUCUAAGACUCAAAGAUGAUAAAGAUAAUCUUAAAAGGAUAAUGACAUUCACCUUGUUAUAUUACAAACACUAAUUCAUGGGGAACUUACAUACAAUCAUUAGUUGGUCAUGGACCCUAACUUUAUAUUUUGAUUUAAUAGCAUAAAAUAAUAUAGUGCAGUUGACUUUUUAUAAUGGGAUGUUGAAUAAACUUUAGAAUUGGAUUAUGAGGGAGCCAACAUUUUCCUAUGGGUCUUAGUGUUCAUCGAUCGAGCUCACAUUGUUUACUUGCAUAUUGUUUAAAGGGUUUUUGGGUUCUUUAUUCAUAUGUGGGCAUAAAGGCCUUUUGGUAAAUAUACAAGGUUACAUAAAAGCUUAUGAAUGGUCUUUUGGAUUAGGCUAAUUAAUUAAUGCGGACCUAGUGGAUUAGAUUAAGUGACCAAAUCUCAGUUUAGACUCAAGUCACUUAAGCUCAUAAGGAAGUCUAUAUAAAACCUUUUAAGGUUUAAGAUUAGACACUUGAUUCAUUUUGUCUUCCAAAGAGAGAUCUUUAGCCUUCAUCCCUAUAAAGAGAAUUUCACCAUUCUCAAGUGCCAAGAUCUAAGAGAAAGCCCAUAGGCAAGAUAUCACAAGGUUUUCGAGAUUCGCACCAUACUCUUCAUCAAUUAAAAUUGAUCUAAGAACAUCCAAAUCAUAGGUAAUCUUUAGCACCUAUAUCUAGAGUAUUAUUAUUUUUAAUGUUUUUGUUGCUUAGAUUUAGUAUCCCUAGGAAGAUGGUUGCAUGCAUCCCAAUAAUCUCAAGUUUGGAAUGGAUUUUUCAAAUAUUUCAACAAUUGGUAUCACAACCUUAGGUUAGGGAAAAGUAUGUUAGAUCCUUUCUAAGAUGUGUUCGCCUUUGUUUUUCAAGGUUUCUUAUUUAUUCCAUGUCCUUAGUGAUGAAUAUAUAUAUAUAUAUACAUGUGUGUGUGUGUGUGUGUGUGUGUGAGUGUUGUGCAUGCAAUGAGAGAUAUUACCUAUAUAUUAUAUAAUAGUUGUCUUUUAGAGUAUGUCAAUUGAUCACAUAAUGAGAGGUAAUCUUGGGAGAUUUAUAGCACUACCUUGUUAGAUUAUAAAUAUCAGUUCAUGAGAAGUCUGCAUGCAAUGGAUAGUAGUAGGUCAUAGACCCAAGCUUUGCCUUAUUGUAAUAUUAUAGGAUACUUGAGUCUAACCGACUUUCUUCAAUAGAGUGUUGAAUUAGCUUCAAAAUUGGAUUCUAAGAAAGUCAAUAUUUUUUUAUGGAUCCUAGCGGUCCUCACUUGAGCUUCUUAUUAAUAGUGGCACAUUUGAUUGAGGGUUUUUGGAUUUGAAAUUCAUAAGUGUGCAUAAGGGCAUUUGGUGAAAGUGUAAGGUUAUACUGGAUUUUAUGAAUGGUCUUUUUGGAUUUGGUUAAUUAAUUAAUUAGACCUCAAUAGAGUUAAUUAAUUAAUUAUGACCUAAGUGAAAUGGAUUAGGUGAAGUUACACUCAAGUCAUCAAACCUAGAUCCCAAAUAUGAACUUACAAUCUCUAGAUCUAUGUUUAAUAAUGAUUUUUUGUCUUGUUUUUUUUAUUGUGUUAGAUCUAGAAAAGCCUAGUAAAAAAAUUUAUGCACCCUACGUGAUUCAAGGCUUGGGAACAAAGUAAUAUGGGGUUCCUUAACAACUUCUACCAAGAAAUUUAGACCAUUCAUAACUCAUAAGAGCAGUACGCAAAAAUGCAUAAUCAAUAAUUACAUUUUCAGCAUCCUAGAGCAUUAUCACCUUUAAGAGGUUACAAUAACAAUUUGAUCAUACCAUUCUUACCAUAUACCUAUUGAUUAAUCACUUAAAUAUCUUGGAUUACUUAAAACCUAUAAUUCUAGGGGUCUCACCCAUGGACAUACGUCUAUGACCCAACUUAAUUCGAAUUAGGAUUUUCCCAUGGUAGGUAGGGUCUUUCACCUUAAGGUAGUUUACCUUUUUUUUUUUUUCUUUUUUAUGUAAUGAGUUUUUUUAUUUCAAGGGCCAUUUCCUCAACUUAAUUUCCCAAAGUCAUGCUUAUCGGUGUCUUUCCACAAUUUCCAAUACCUUAAGUACCAAGUGCCAUGUUGCUCUUAAUACACUUCAAAGCUAGUCACUAGCAAAAUUCAUAUAUUCCAACAAAAAACAUUAUAACUAUUUAAUCAUCUUUUAUCAAGCCAAGAGCAAUAAUUUUCAAUACAAAAUGCAUAAUUCAACAUAUCUCAUGCAAACCUUCAUAGCUCAACAAAAAUAAAAGUUUCUAAUUCUUCAUUCAAAAAAUGUACUAGAGUGUAAAUUUUAUCAUAAAACAUCUCUUACCACCCUCUCUACUUUAAUGACACUUCAAUUGCCACCUUAUAUGGAGGAAGAGACAGAGCAAUUCCUGAAUUUCAAGUUUUUCAAGUCUCAACACUUUCCAUUAAAGGUUACCGAAAAGCAGUCAAGUAAAGCUAACAACUAAUCCAUCUUCAAACUACAAUCAUGUCUUUAAACUAGUCAUCCUAAGAACAACCCUCUUUUUCCCACAUAUUCUUCCCAAAUGAAAUAUAGCAAAUAAAAAAAAAUAUAAAAAGAAAUAAAGAAAGAACAAGAAAAACCUAGGGAACGAAUUAAUUGUCAAGAUUACCCAUAGAAUUAUCUUUUUAUCGUAAAGUAGAAUAAUAUAUAAAAGGUAAAAAAAUUAAUCAGUUUUCCCUAUUUUAGAUAAUAUUACCCAAAAAUAAUAAAUAUUAGAGUAGAUUUAGGUACUGAUUAUGAGAAAUCUAAAAUUUGUCAUCUUUGAUAAUUUGAGGGGUUUGAUUAUAGCACCGAUCAUAUAAAUACAAAAAAGGUGAUAAAAUCAUGCUAAAGUUUUAUUAUAUUAUAUUUUAUUUUCAUUUUUUUAUACUUGGUAUUAUUGUUUGUGCUUGAUCUUAAGGUUUUUUUUAUACCUAAUCCUAUUUUUGUAUCCUUAUCAACGACAUAAAUUUUACUAUAGAGUUUGGACGGUGGAGAUUGAAAGUACUGUUGGUAGGCGUUGAGUAGCUUAAAGUUUUCCUAAUUUGAACCUCACUGGUGCUGUGCUAGCUUAUAGGGGCAAAAUGGUAAACGGACGUUGUGGGUGUACCAAAACAAUUCCUCCCUCUCUUUAGCCUUUAAUCCCUUUCUUUCUGGGACAAUACUCUCUAGGGCUUGGAUUGCUGCACCAGAAGACAACGUUCUCUUUUUCUCCUGUCUCUGUCUCUAUCUGUAUCUGUCGUGGCUCUAGGGCUUGAAUUGAAGAAGAAGAGCACAACAGCAUUAGGGCUUCCGCCAAUCUUUCCUCUCCAUUUCUUCAAAUCUGCAGCAGGUACGCUCUUUCUUUCUUUCAGCUGUGUUGUUAAAUUUUUGAGUUUCUUUCAGAGUAUAUCAGGAUCAAGCGUCUUCGAUCUUAUAUUCUGCUGUUCGACAAGAGCAUUCUUUCGGUUUCUUGACAAUUUAAUGUCAGAGUAGGGCUUUCUAUUUAGCCGCUUUUUGCAGAUCCAUCGUCUUUAACUGUAUAUAUUGUUUUUGUAUUUGCUGCCUAGGGAUUUAGUCACAGAAUUGUCAUAAAUUAGACUAUGAUCGUCUUAACAACUUUUAUAGAGCACAAAUAGAUAAAUGAAUCUUAAGGUGUUGGGAGAAUUUUCUGGGAAAUCUUCUCUAGGAACUGUUUUUUACAUAACUUAAAGAAACCAUAGUUUUGGCACUGCCUGCUAUAGUCCUUUUGAGGGAAGGAAGGGCAUGGCAUGUUUCAUAUUCAUGUCAUGUGUUUGUAGAACAUCCUUCAAUUUAAGCUGCACAGUCAGCUGACUCCAAGGGCCAGAGAGGGGAAAACCCCUGUUAAUGAACCUAUUUAGAUAAUGUACGGAAAUACUUGUACUAUGUUUGGUUUCAAGAAAGUAUCAAUGAAAGCAAAAAAAAAAAUAUUAAGAAAGGAAAAUACCAAUGAAAAUAAAAUAUAAUUAACUUAAAGAAAAGAAAUGUUAAGAAUUUUUUUUUAUAUUUGGUUUUAUUACAAAAAUACGAAAGAAAAUAAAAUAUAAUUAAAAUUAAUUAAAAAUUUAUGCGAUUUCAAAUUAUUUAAUCUUUAUAUAAAAUAAUUAAAAUAAAUUAAAUGAGUUUGAAGUAGAAUAUAAAAAUAAUUUAUUGAAUUUAAUUUUUUUUUCCUUAACUUUUUUUUCCUUAUACUUUUCCUUGCUAUUUUCUUUCCUUUACAUUUUUCCUCAAAUUUUCCUAGAAUCAAAUAUAGCCUUGAUAUAGUGUAUAUGCAUUCUAGAGUAUAUUUCCUAUCUUGUUCAAAUAAUAAAAGAAUUAUAGAUGAUAAAAAGUUUGUAUGAAAAUUUUCGACAUGUAACACAUGAUUUUUGAACUGAUAAGUUAAUCAUUCAUUUCUAGCCAUCCCAACAUUGGACCUAGAGAUACUGUUUCCAACCUUAGAAACUAUAAAGUGGUUUUUUCAUGUGUUCAAAUGUUGAUCAUCACAUUAAAAAUGUUUUGCAAAAAUUGUCAAUUAGCCGUAUAAUUUACUCUUCAACUAAUGGAUGCUCCCAUGUUGGAAAUUACAACUUGAUCAACCAAUGACAAUUUAGCAUCAAUAGAAAUCUUCCUUAUUUGUUUCAAAACAUUGUUUUUAAAUUGUGGCCCACCAAAAGAGCUUUCAUUUAUAACUACCAAGAAUAGAGGGGUAUUUUAGUGACACAAAAGAAAAAAAAAGGG
rnacentral:lncRNA from 1 species